AAGAAGAAGAAGAAGAAGAAGAAGAAGAAGAAGAAGAAGAAGAAGAAGAAGAAGAAGAAGAAGAAGAUGACACAGAAGAAGAAGAAGAAGUGGAACAGUAUUUUAUAAAGAAGAGAGCAUUAGAAGUGGCAAAAAUAGAGAAGGAUGACAAGGACGAGGAGGAGGACGAGGAUGAGGACCUGGAAAAGAUUCCGCACACUUAACAGAAAUGUACUCUGGUAACAUUCUUCAAAUUAAUAGAGAGUCACAGAGACAAAAUCCCCUUAGAAGCAUGGCAGCUGAUCAGUCAAACUUGCUUUGGUGAAAUGAUUAACGCAUUUAGAACCAGGAGCAUCGUUGCGGAUCAGGUCAGCAGAUUUGAGUUGGAUAUAGAAAUUUUAUUGAGGCACUAUUGCAAGGAGACAAAAAAGUUCAUGUUUGGAGAAAAAGAAAUUAAUGGAGAUUAAAGAGGAAGAUGUGCAUCUUUUGUUUGGAUUAACAAAAGAAGGUGAAAAUGAGGAAGAAAAAAUCUCCAGGAGAAAGAAGAGCAGCCAACAGUCAACCAUAUUCGGCAAAACGAAAGCAUCCAUCUUUAGGAAGAUGAUCCACGACAAGUUGACAGUAGAGCUCAACAAGAUUAAGAACAAGGAGGUAGAACCAAGGAAAAUUGAUUCCUUGAUCAUAAUGUUCCUACUGGCUACUUUCUUCUUCAGCACAUCUGGAAGCCAAAUUGAAUGGCAAAUGGUGCUGACAUGUGAGGACCUAGAAGCAAUAAACAAAAUAAACUGAUCAAGAAAGCUGAUUGAAGCCUUCCAUGAAGGAGUGAAAGCAUGUCAAGGGCAAGCUAAAGGGUCUGAAUGGUUGCGUAGUUCUGCCUCUGUACUGCUUCUUGGAGCGUACAAAAAUCAAGGAAAGGAUCCAGAAGAAACAAGCAGCUAUGCGAAGAUUUGUAAGAUGGUCCACAAAUGGCAUCAUCUACGGAAGCGACUAUCUAAAGAGACCGAAAAAGCUUGAGGUAAAAAUUGGUUUUUGGUUUUCCAAAUAUUAUACAGCAUUGUACGUAGAUGUUGUUUCUGAAAAACUGAACAAAUCUUAUUUUUGCAAAAAACAGGAACUGGUUGCUCAAGGUCCAUGGAAGGAAGAGGAAGAAAGCACUUCCGGAUCAGAGGAAUAUGGCACCCCAGACGAACAUGGCACCCCGAGCUUUGAAGAAUGGGUAAGUCUGAAAAAUGAAUGAAAUAAAAGUGCAUUGGCAUACUUUACUGCCCCUAGUAAUAGUUCACUAGGGGCAGUAAACUUCACUUUUCAUUGCAUAAGUAGUGUAUGAUAUCAAGUUUACUAGGGGCAGUAAACUGUAUAAUCAUCUCUAAAUCAAUAGUUGACUGUUGGCAUAGUUAACUGUGGGUAGUAAACCUGUUUGGCAUAGUUUACUACCCCCAGUAAACAUUUACUGGGGGUAGUAAGUCACAUUUCUUUUUCCUGAUUGUGAAAAAAGUAGUUUACUAAGGGGUAGUAAACUUCAUACUUAUCUGUAUGUAUUUGGUCUCAGGUUCCUUUAUCAAGCCAGCAAGAAGUGGAAGAAAAUAAAAGAGUGGGCGACAAUUUUAAGACACUACUGACAGACUAGGAGGAGGAGAUCCCAGAAGAUUUGAAUGAGAAGCUAAAAGAACUCGACAAAGCAAACGAAGAACUCCAGAAUAGAAUCAAUGAUUACGUGCACAAGUUACAGCUCGCCGAUGACAAAAUAAAGCAGCUAGAGAUGGAGAAAAGGGAGCAAGACAGCCUCAACAAGGCUCUGAAGAGAAAGCUUAAAAAAGCAAAAUCCUCAGCAAAUGGACCUCCCGAGCAAAAAAUGGAAUUCGGUGGGAAAGAGCAUGGCUGCCAAGGAGAUGAACAAACAAAAAGGAAUGUAAGAUGAUACUUUACACUAUAACUAAGACUAUUUUUUACUUUAUUUUGUUUUCUUUAUUAUGUUACUAAUUUUUUUUUAAAUUAAAAAAAUCAGGAAAACCAGAACAGAAGCCUGAUAGUCAAGUUCAAAGUUGGAACUGCACAAACAACACAAUCUACAAAUGAUCAACCAGAAGCUUUGGUGAGCAUAUAAAAUUACUAGGGGGUAGUAGACUUAAUAGGGAAACUGUGUUGCAAGGUAGUAUACCCCAGACAAACUAUUACUAGGGGUAGUAAACGUUUUGUUAUUGUUUAAAAUCUGAGAAUAACAUGUGUUAUUUUAUUUUGUGAAGGCUGUGAUACAUGAUAAAAAACCAUUGAAUCACGUAUCUCCAAUAAUGGACUAUGAGGACUUGCCGCUCACAGAUGAUGACAUCUGUAAUUUAGAUAAGAUAGUUGAGUCCCAAGCUGCAUCCAUCCAACAAUCAGCAACAGAAAUGGACAACGACAUCUCUGUGACAGUUCAGUCCCAAGUUUCAUCGACCGAACAAACAGCAACAACAGAGGAUAAAAAGAUGAAUACUUAUUCCAAGAAGAGGAAAGCAAUGGAUCCGAUGUCGAUAGAAAAAAUGUGAAGCUGAACCCUAGAAACGCCAAGAAAACAAAGGACCCUGACUAGGAGUACGGCAUUCCAAAAGACAUUCAAGUCCACAAAAAAAUUAUAAACAAGAAUCUGAAGUGUGACAACAGUACAUGGGAUUCACUGGGCGACGAUUUAAAAUGCACUACAAACAAUGGUUUGAAGCCCGCCCGAACAAAAAGGAAGAGUAAGUUUCAAUUAUAUAAAACUUUACAGUUUGCUUAUGCAAAAUUACAAAAAUAUAUUUGUUUUAAUUGGAGUAUGAAUUCAAUGUUUUUCUACAGUGAAGCGUACUGGACAUGUCCUGAAGGCUGGCACUGUUUAUCAAAUAGUGACUUGAAAAGGAUUAUCGAACACUCAGACAUAUUGUCGAGUGUGAGUAAUAAAUAAAUAAAUAAUAUCACCUUAUUAGCACCACUCAGUGAAGUUUAGAUUUAAUAGUAUUGACUUAUGUUAUGAUCGCAGAGCCUACAAGUGUACAUGAGGUUGUUGAAGAAAAGGGCAGAAGCUGCCAAACUUCCUGUUGGAUUCAUGAACAUGGAGAUUGUGGUAAGUUUACUAGGGGCAAUAAAACUUAUAUUUUCAUCAAGAUAUUGUUUUGCAAGUUUACUACCCCUAGUAGCAGGUUACUAGGGGUAGUAAACUUAAGUUUUUGGUAUGUAUGUCUAUUUUUCUUUCAUUUGAUCUCUAUAAUGACUGUGAGGAUACCAUAUGGAAACUUUCAUGUAAAUUUAAUAUCUUUCAUAGAGUAUUUUUAAAUGCAAAACAGCAUUAUGUUUAAUACCUUUCAAGCAAUGUGUUUUUUUAUGCUCUGGAAACUUUACUACCCCUAGUAAAGUGUGCUUUAGGGUGCAGAAUAACAAAAUAUGAUGCUCUGCAAAUUUUACUGCCCCCAGUAAAGUAUGUUUUAGGGUGCAGAACAACAAAAUUUGAUGCUUUGGAAACUUUAUUACCCCUAGUAAAAUAUGUUCUAGGGUGCAAAACAACAAAAACUGAGGUUCUAGAAACAUUCUACCCCUAGUAAUGUAUGUGUUAGGCUGCAGAAUAACUAAAUCUGAUGCUUUAGAACAUUACUACCCCCAGUAAAGUUUAUUAUGGGUUGUAAAAUGUUAUUUAUAUAUGUUGGUUAAUCUAAGGUUAUUUGUUUUUUAAAUGCAGAAGGAUGUGAUAGAGCAUGAAACAAUGUUGGAACUGCACAAGCUAAAUGGAGGAACAACUGGAGACUUCAAAAGUGGUUAUGAACUCGGUAUGGAGGAAAACUUCUAUAACCCGCUUUGGACCUUGUUUGGAAAGCAGAUGGUCUUCAUUCCGUUACAUCACGGGUCUAGCCUUCACUACACUUUGCUGCUGAUUGACAACAUCAACAAACGCUUUUAUCACAUGAACUCUUCGUUGCCAACACCGUACAAAGAAAAAGACAACUUUCACUUCAAAAAUGCAAAAGCAGUGGUGAGUAAACAAUCAAAACAUUUUUAUUAAAAAAAAUGCAAAGCAUUCAAUUGUUAAGGUUAACUAAUGUUUAAAAAUUGUUUUGUUGCUUAAUAUACAGGUGAAGCACAUCAAGGAGUUCAUCAAACGUAUACAUUAUUCAACUGUGUUUACUUUGAGCCAAGACUUUGACCAGAAUGAAUACAGGAAAGAUUACGCGAUUGAUUAUGCACCCGAGGACAGUCAAGGCAGAAAACCUAGCAACAUAGUGAAAAUGACAGAGGACGAAAAUGUGACAAGACGUUGGAUUAUUGAUAAUAACAUCCAUCACAAACCAUACAAACUGACCGAACACCGCACAUGCCCCCAGCAAAAUGUAUCAUCGUAAGUACAUGAAUAUUCUUCUUAUACAUGUAUCAUUGUUUGUUAGGGUUGAUAACUACAUAACCAAAUGCUUUGAGAGUUUACUAUCCCUGGUAAAUGUUUUUUGUUAGGGGGGGUAGAACAACAUAAAUGAUGGGGUAGUAAUGUACAUUAAUAUUCAGAUUUAUUUUCUUAAUCAAAAUAAGUUAUUAACAUAGUUAGCCCUUUGAUUUAUGGCAGGUCUGAUUGUGGUCCAUUUGUUCUACAUUAUAUGGAGGCAAUGUGUGCUGGGUUGGAUCCAAACCAAGAAGGCGGCAACCAAAUGAGAAAGAAGAUGUUAGAGGAGUUUGCGAAAUUAAACAAAUGAUUUAUGUAACUUUUGUUAGAAUUGUGGACAGAUAUCACAACUAAGACUGAGAUCCAAUUUUAAGUUCUAUUUUGAAACUUUCAUGUAAAUUUAAGGGAAUUUAAUACCUAGUAAAGUAAUGGUUUACUAACAUCAGCAAUGUGCUUUUUUAUGCUCUGGAAAUUUUACUGCCCCCAGUAAAGUAUGUGUUAGGGUGCAGAACAACAAAAUCUGAUACUUUGGAAACAUUACUACCCCUAGUAAAGUAUGUUCUAGGGUGCAGAACAACAAAAACUGAGGUUCUGGAAACUUUACUACCCCUAAUAAAGUAUGUUCUAGGGUGCAGAACAAGUAAAUCUGACGACUUGAAACCAUUACUACCUCCAGUAAAGUUUAUUACUGGGUGCAGAACAACAUUACUACCCCCUUAGUUGUGUUUUUUUUAUGCUCUAGAAACAUUACUACCCCUAGUAAAGUAUGUUCUAUGAUGCAGAACAACAAAAACUGAGGUUCUGGAAACUUUACUACCCCUAGUAAAGUAUGUGUUAGGCUACAGAACAAGUAAAUCUGAAGACUUGGAAACAUUACUAACCCCAGUAAAGUUUAUUACUUGGGAGGGAAGAACAGAAAAAAUAAAUAAAUAAAUAAAUAAAUAAAAAGAUCCUGUGUAAAGUUACUGACCCUUAGAACUUUAAUGCUUGGGACAGAUGAACAUAAUAAUAUUGUCAAGAGAAUUCCACAAUAAUGAACAUCACAAAAAUCUUCAAUAAAAAUCCUUACAAUAGAGGCAAAUCUGAAUAUAGUUCAAAAAACAUCCAAAAAACAACAAAUUCCAAACAUCUACUAACAACCAGAAGGAUGUACAAGAAACUACAGCAACAUGUUCAAAGGUUCCGUACAGCUCUUCUUGUUAUGAUGGCCCAUCUUAUUACAACGACCGCAUCAAAUCAGCUUCUUCUCACCAGCAGAUGCUAUCCUCUUUGAUUUAGGCCUCCCAGCCGGCCUCUUUGUAACAAGAGGUAGUAUAAAGUCCUCAAUGGAAGAACAAGAGGCAUCCACGUUACUCAGAGGUGCAAUAAGAAAGCUAUAACACAUCCUAUAAUAUUCAGCAGUAAAAUAAGGAUCAAUGAAAUCAUACACAUCAAGUCUUGCNNNNNNNNNNNNNNNNNNNNNNNNNNNNNNNNNNNNNNNNNNNNNNNNNNNNNNNUAUAGCAGCAAGUGCAUGAGCGCAUGGGAAGCAAUUAAUCUGCCACUUCACACAUGAACAAGUACGAGUAGAGAGGUCCACUGAAUAUGAGUACUUAUCAUUCCUAACCUCAUAAACAUUUUCAUGGGAAGCAAUCACCCUGAACACACGAGACCUAUCAAGCUGCUCUUUCAGCCUCUUCUCCAUUUUAGGAGUAAGCUUGGUAGUCCAAGAUUUCGACUCAACACUCCUUUCUGACAUAGUCUUCAUUUCUUUCAUUCUUGUUUGAUCUAACAUAGCGAAAGGGGGCAAUGAACGCUCAGCAACAAUCCAGUUAUUGAAGGAUUCAGCAAUACCAUUUGCCAUAAUCCCAUACCGACAACCUUUCACUACAAAAAAGAAUUCAGUUAGCCACCAAAAUUUGCCACGGCUCAGUUUUGCCGUCGCCGUUAGUCCAAUAUUUGCGACGGCGCAGUGACAGUAGACGUGUAGUCGCUAAAUUUAUACAACUUUGCGACGGCAACUGGUAAGCCGUGGCUAAAAAAUAUGAAAUUUGCAAUGGCAAACGAACGUCGUCGCAUUCUUUUUGAUUGAUAGCGACGGCAGGUUAAGAGCCGUGGCUAAAAAUGCGGUAUGACUAGGUUAAAAUUUUUUGUACCCGUUUGAGAAUUGCAGUCGUUUCUUUCUCUCUCUCUCGCUCUCCCAAAGCCGCAUCCCUCUCCCUCGAUCUCAUCGAAAGUCUGAAACCCUAUCUCUUAAUUCCCUCUCUCUCUCNNNNNNNNNNNNNNNNNNNNNNNNNNNNNNNNNNNNNNNNNNNNNNNNNNNNNNNNNNNNNNNNNNNNNNNNNNNNNNNNNNNNNNNNNNNNNNNNNNNNNNNNNNNNGGGAUCAGCUUGACAAGAUGCCCAUGACCAAGGAGAAGGGUUCUGGUUCACGUGUAAGGUAAGCUUAUUUGGUGUGAACACAGUUUGAGCUUUUGAUUCAUGGUAAACUUGAUUUAGUGUUCAAUAUAUAUGAACGGUUUACAUUCUUUAUGCCAAUCAAGAUUCAUGUUUGAGUGAGGAAUAUAUAUGAAUGAUUUUAGAUCUGUUGAGUUUUUCCUUGGCAGUAUUUUUUUGAAAGGUUUGGCUUUCUAAUAUUUUACGCUUUACUAGCAACGAGGUUCUAAUAUUUUGCUUCUUAUUAUUGCUCUUGGUUCCAAUUACUGCUGCAAUUCUUGUAUGUACGUUGUUCAUGUUUAUUAACCCUUGUUUGGAUUCAGCUGAAAAAUAUAUGUAUUAGUAACUUAAGGUGUUAAUUUGGUAGGGCUUGCUCUGAAUUUAUUCUUUGUUAAGAUAGAAUUAUGCUUUGUGAAAAUUGUGAUUUUACCCGUUGCCUACUGCCCCAAGAUUGUUUAAUGGUGUUUAAACCCCUUAAAAAUAUAUUCCAGGUUUUAGUGUGUUAUGUUUGUGAGGCCUCUGAUGGUUUUGUGCAUUCUGGAGGAAUAUAGGUGCAUUUGAUACAAUGAAGGAGAAUGGUGGAGCAGUUUGAGAAAAGUUCUUAUGGUCUUAUGGUUCUCGCUCCUUGCGAGACAUAAGCACGAGAAGAAGUGAGUAUCCCUGACAUUUUAUAUAUGAUAGAAGAGUCAUUUGAGUAUGAGAUUUACAGAUGCAAUUGGUAUGUAAAUUUUAAGAUCUUUACAUGUUGAGGUGAAUUCAUAAGAUCUUUUGUAAUUGGUACAUACAUAUUAAGAUCAUAAAGAAUCUGCUCAUAAGAUACUUCAAUGAGGUGAAUUCAUUUUUUCUGUGUGUAGCGCCUCUUUGUUUCGUUAUCUUUGCAUAUCUCUCUCUUAGUGAUUGAACCACAUUGGAAUUUACUUCUAUAAUAUUUAUGUGUAUCUUAUACCAGUCAUAUGACUUGCUUGCUACUUUGAUUCUUAUUUAUGAAAUUCGCAAGUUGGAUAAUUGGUUGAUAUGGUAGAUAUGUACAAUGAAGAUCUUUACACCCUACCUGAUAAGGAACUAUCUUCUGGUGUUAUAGCAAGUUCCACCAACUUAUCUAAUAAAAAGGUAUUGUGGCAUAUCUCUUCUUUAUUUCUUCUUUGUUUCGCUAUCUUUCCAUAUCUCUCUCUUAGCGAGAGAGGCACAUUGGAAUUUAUUUCUAUAAUAUUUAUUGUAUCUUAUACCAGUCAUAUGACUUGCUUGCUAUUUUAGUUUGAUUCUUAUUUAGAAAUUCACAAGUUGGAUAAUUGGUAUUUUCUCUGGACUAAACAAUUGAAACUUGGGUGAAUAGUUAAAUUCAGUCCUUUCUGACUGAAUUUUCUUGCAAUUGGUACCUUUUCUACCAUACUGAGAUAAGUAAUGUAUGCUUAGUCAUUGUCAUGCCAUAUAGAUUUUGCUGCUUUAAGAACUUAUUCCUCUCUAUCAUGUCUCAGAGAUUCAUUGUUAGUAAAUUCAAUAGCUGAAGUUCAAACUUCCCAAAUAUUCAGUCUGAUAGAUGUUUUAACUGAACUUUUCCUUUCAGGUUUGACAAAGGUGCAUGUGGUCAUAUGUAUUUGAGAUAGCUACGAUGUUCAAGAUGUAUAUGACACUGAUGGAAGCCAAGCAAUAGGUACCAAAGAAUCCCUAUUGCUGGUAUAGUGAUAUACAAUUGAAACUUUGGCUUAGUUGGUUGCACUUAGUUGGUUUUCUGUUUGUGUCAAGGAACUAAUUGAUAGAAACACUUAGAUCUUGAUGUGUUUGUAUUAAUAGUUCUGUUGUAAGAUUGGUAGUAAUUUAGAGACAUUUAAUUCAGUGUAACAAUUCUUGUUCUAAUAUGUUUAAUUUCUUUUUGCACAGCUUUUGUCCAAAAAAAAAAAUGAAAAUCUGGCCAGCUAAUAUGCUUGUCAGAUAAUUUUUUUUUAAUUCAUAAAUACAACUUUGCGACGGCCUUUGCAGUCGCUGCAUGCCGUCGCUACCAUUUGGCAAUGGCUUGUUGCCGUAGCCAAAAGCAACGGCCACGCCCUCAACGGCGACGGAAAAAAUGCCAUCACUAAGCCGUCGCCGUUGCUUUUUUGCCACGGCAAAAUGGCUUUUGGCGACGGCAUUUUGCCGCGGCUAACUGAAUUUUUUUUGUAGUGUUUAAAAAAGCACGGCACCAAUGUUCCAAUGGAAUCUCCCUUAUGAAUUCAUCAAUAAUAGUAGCACCACCCUCCUCUCUCAAAUUUUUUAAAUGAAAGUAGAAAGACUUCUCAGUCGAUGCAUAAGCCACUUUAAAGAAUUUUUGUAACACAUCAGCAACAAAAAUUUCCCCUCCUUUGUUCUUAUACUUUCGACUAAGGUUGUAUCGUAAAUGAUGAUAACAGUAAAGAUGAGGAUUACCAGGAAAAAUGAGAUCAAAUGCCUUCAACAAACCAACACCACGAUCACUNNNNNNNNNNNNNNNNNNNNNNNNNNNNNNNNNNNNNNNNNNNNNNNNNNNNNNNNNNNNNNNNNNNNNNNNNNNNNNNNNNNNNNNNNNNNNNNNNNNNNNNNNNNNNNNNNNNNNNNNNNNNNNNNNNNNNNNNNNNNNNNNNNNNNNNNNNNNNNNNNNNNNNNNNNNNNNNNNNNNNNNNNNNNNNNNNNNNNNNNNNNNNNNNNNNNNNNNNNNNNNNNNNNNNNNNNNNNNNNNNNNNNNNNNNNNNNNNNNNNNNNNNNNNNNNNNNNNNNNNNNNNNNNNNNNNNNNNNNNNNNNNNNNNNNNNNNNNNNNNNNNNNNNNNNNNNNNNNNNNNNNNNNNNNNNNNNNNNNNNNNNNNNNNNNNNNNNNNNNNNNNNNNNNNNNNNNNNNNNNNNNNNNNNNNNNNNNNNNNNNNNNNNNNNCCGCUGCACCGCUAACGGGAGCGUUCCGCUCCAAAAACAUAACAUGUACAACUAAAAACAUGAAAAAAUUACUAACAAUUACUAGGGGUAGUAAAAUAACAGGAGGUACCUUUGUUUCCAUUUCUUCUAGUUGCAGCAAGAAUCUGCCCCUUGUAUUUGUUUUUCCAAAGGCUCAACAUAUAAAACAGGUAGGCUGAACUUGAAACCCUGCAUUUGGCCGGCAUAAGCUACAAAAACCCUUUUAAACCUCUCGGUACUCUCAUCAACUUCAAGAACAACUGAAGAACCCGGAUUAGUCUCCAACACAGCUUUCCUAAACCCGCUUAACAUAGAAAACGAAUCACAUUCCGAGCCAUACAUCUUUUCCACACACCUUUUUUUAGCUCUUGAAGCAACCUUAUAACAAAUUUCAUAACCAUAAGUGGACUUGAAAUUGCUCAUGAUCUCACGGGGCUUCAAACCAAGAUUCAGACAGACAGUAGACUCAAUGCAGGUCGUAACAAUUUUAGACCGUAAUUGCCGAUGAGAACGAUUCCUUAUCAUACCUCUGCAUGUAUGAACAUUAUUAAACCGCGUAAUGUAAAAGCACUGAUUAAUAGAAGCAACAGAUCCAAGUACUUCCCAGCCACAGUGGUCAACAUCACGAUUUGCACAAACAACAUUAACGUAAAUUGAAUCAUUCCUAGAUAGCACAUAAUGGAAACCACUUUGAACAGCAAACUUCCUCAGUUUGUCUCUAAAGUCUGCAAUGCUCUCAAACCUCUGCCCAACAUGUGACAAAUAUGAACCCCAUUCAUCCGACAAAAAACUCUGAGGUCCAUCCUUAAAAGCAUCACCUAGAUAGUCAUUCUCAUCUAUCAUCUCAACACAAUCAUCAACCACUACACUAGUUGAUGAACAACUUUUCCCGACAUCCUUGACUACUGUCACUACUACAUUAUCCAUAUGAUAAAUUUUUGCACAGCAGAAGAGCAUCUUAAAAUUAGAUUCAUUAUCUAAAUAGAUGGCAGAACAAGCAGGCGAUGAAUACUCAAGGUGAAAAGAAUCAUUGGACGAAAACUUAAAUCGUUUUCGGAUGGAUUGAAUAAGGUCUUAAUAAUUCAUGAGCUCAUUGAGGAGAAGGACAAAGCCAUUGCCAGAAAAAACAAAUUGAACACACAAAGAACCAACAGUGCUCCUGCAAAAAAAACAAAACCACACAGGUCCAUAAGUUACUACCCCCAGUAAAUGUCAAUUUCUACAAAAACAGAUUAAAAAACAUAAGUAAUAUGCUAGAAGUACAAACAAUAAGCAAUGAAAACAACAACUAACCACAAUUAAAAACAAAAACACACAGAUCAUAAUAUUACUACCCCCACUAAAUGUCAAUUUCUACAAAAACAGACUGAAAAACAUAAGUAAUAUGCUAGAAGUACAAAAAAAGCACAGCAAAAACAUUAAAAACAACAAUAAGACAUAGAUCGCAAACAUUACUACCCCCAGUAACAAGUCCAAAAAAUCCAGAAAUUUUCGAAACAACAUGCAAACGAAGCGCAUUCANNNNNNNNNNNNNNNNNNNNAAUGGAUCUCGUCUGGUAUAUAUAGUCCACAGGUGAGGGUAUUUUUGACAAAAAAAAACUGUUAAAAGUGGGCCCAUUAGAAAAGUUUUGUCCAAUAAGACACAUUUCACACACCUUAUAUUGAAGUGGGCACAUUUCUUUUAAAAACAUUUAAAUGGGCAAAAAGAAGCUUAAAUUAGUACUAAAAUGUCAUUUACUCAAGAAACAAUACAAUCAUUAAGUUAUACUUUGCGUCUGUUAGUUUUAUCGAGUAUCAGAUACUUUCAAUGAUUCAUGUGGUAGUAAUAAGCAGCUGACUUUGGAUGAAUCUAACAACGGUUGGGUAAUGCGUAAGGACCGAGCCAUAGAUUUCUAUCUUUUUUCUUCACAAAAUUCGUUAGUACCAUUAUGAACAUCGGUUUUCUUUUUAUAUAUUGUGUUGGAACAACAGUUUGUAUUGGUCCUUAAAAGAAAAAGAAAAAUAGUUUCUAUUAGUUUGAAACAUCUUUGGUUCUUUUAUUGUAAUUGUUGUUUUUUUUUCUCAUAUGACCAUUAGAAAACACCAUUCUUAAAACUCGUCUCAGAUCUCCAAAUUUCAAGUGUCGCUAUUUAUCCACGUAUUUGCCUAAAAUUCUUCUACGCACCGAGGUGCAAGUGAACCGAAUAACUAACAUGCAAUAUUUUGAUCCGUUCAUCCAAGUUGCAAUAUCAUGCAUAUAUGAUAAUAUCGUUAACAAAAAUGAAACCCAAAAAAAUAGUCAUAAAUGCUUCUGACACAGGCGGUGAAGACCCAAGGUCGAAGAAGAGAAACUCUUAUUAUGAGCGCUUAAUUUAAUCGGAUUAAAAAUGAAAAUGAAAUGAAGAAAUUCAAUCUUCCCAUACGGAAAUUUGAGGACUUGCACAUUGAUGCGUAGAUUCCGCUCAACAUAUUUGCUGUCUUCAUAAGUAUGUUUACUAAAACAUUAAUUGAUACUUAACUGAUAAUUGUUUGAUUUUGAGCAUAAAAAAUGACAUGUGAGUCAUGAUCUUAUAUUGUUAAUUGGACAACGAGAGUACUUAACAAGACAUCGAUAUGAUAGUUUAAUGAUUAAAGAUUAAUGAUUUGCUCAAUGUACAUGUGAUAUCCUGGCAUAUCCUGGAAUAUCGCAUCAGUUGUGCAUUGAGGCUGGAGAUGGUUACUUAAAAACAAACUAGAUAAACUCAGACACCUAUAGGCAUAGGCGGAACCAGAUUAAUAUCUUGAGGGUCUAGGAAGUGGGAGCGGAUUUUACGAUUAUGGGAAGAUCGAAUAAAAAUUAGAGACCGUAAAUUCUUUCAUUUCAAUUUCAUUUUUGAUCCGAUCAAAUUAAACGCUCAUAAUUAGAUUCUUCGACUUAGUGUUCUCACCUCUUUAGUUGGAAACAAUUGAGACUAUUUUUUAAGUUUUAAUUUUGUUAACGGUAUUAGUAUAUAUGCAUGAAGUGCGACAUAGAUAGCCGGAUCAAAAUACUACAUAUUAGUUGAUUGGUUAGCACCUUAGGUAAGAAAAAUCCCUAAUAUUAAAAAAAAUUGUGUAAUCACACUUUUUUGUUAUUUAGUGAAGGGUCUACUAUGGGGGCGCUCAAAUCAAAUGGGCUGCAAAAUGAACUUGGGGCUGAUGGGGCGUGUGUGCUUUUUAUAAAUUUGGGAGUGAUGAUACCCAUCCUCUUUAUGGCCUCCUUACAGUGUGCAAAACUCUUUGGUUGAGGAACUGAAAUUGCUCUAUUGUUCAUAUUUACAAUGAAUGCAAUAUGUCGAUAGAUGGCUUAGCUCAUUAUGGGCACUCUUUGAACUUGGGACACCAUUUUUUUGAGAAUCCACCUCCUUGUAUUUUGGGCAGGAUUCAAGAAGACAAAGAUGGUCUUUUAUGAUCGAGUCUUGUUAUUGCUUAGUUAGCUUGUUUUUUGGGGCUCUUAGCCCCUCCUUGUAACAAAAAAAAAAAACUUUGGGAGUGCGCAAAUGGUCUCGUUCUGAGAGAGAAUGAGCACGGAGAACUGCUUCAAGCCUAAUCUGGCGGUGAUACUUGUUAAGUUUCAGCUUGGGGAACUAAUGGAGGUUCCGAUUACCACUAUGAAGACUCCCAAGAAGAGGGGUCGCCCUAAAGGAAAGCGGAACAAGGCUACGACCCAAGCUGAGGAGAUAGUAGGUGAGGAGGACAAUUUGGUGCCGAGGUUGUUGGAAGAGGAAGUGACCCUAACAAAUACUAACUCCGACCCUCUGGGGAAGGAGAAGGUAUUUGGGUAGGGAUGAUAAACAAGGCAUUAUGGACAAAUGCUGGAUUGCAGCAAGUAUAACUUCUAUAAAAAAAAAAAAAAUCUAAGACACUUUAGUUGAUAGUUGUACCACAAUUGCGUGAUUGACAGAUUAGACUAGAUGAUUAUUACGUAUUCUUAGAAGGGUGAGGUUUUGCUUGCUAAUUUUUGGCUUGUUGUUCAGUGAGUGAGCAAUUUGUUUUCAAUGAGAUUUGGAUGUGACUUCGAUAGGUUACCCGGUUUGUCCUAGAUAUUCCUUAUGUAAGUUUCUCAAACUCUAGCUUGUUUCCAUAAGUUGAUAUUUAAUGAAAUCAACAUUUUUCAAAAAAAGAACUUGAAGUCAUUUUGUUGAUCAAAUAAAUUAUAGCAUAACAAAACAUACAUGACUCACCCUUGUGGGCUACGUAAAAAUCGAAUCAUGCCAAAAUAAACUAUGAAACUCAAGCAAAACCUAAGGGCAUGUCCGGUAACGUUUUUGAAAACGAUUUUCAAAAAUGAUUUCUAAAAGUAAAAUGAGAAAGUGAGAUUGCUAUUUUCUAUUUUGAAAAUGUAUUCGGUAAAUUAUUGUGAAAAACUAGGAAAAUGAAAAAAUGAAAACGUCAAUUUUUGCAAAAGUUGAAAAUAUUUUCAUUUUUCAUUUUCUACGUUUUCAAAAAUGUCUCACCGAACACAUUUUCAUUUUUAAAAAUAAAAAUACAAGCAUGAAAACGUUACUGAAGACCACCUAGGCACCUCAAACCAUCUUAUUGUUGCUAACCCUACAAUGGGCAUUUUGAUCAAUAAACAAUAGCUGUCGGAAUAAUCCAACGUAUUGGAAAGCCCCUAAGACCAUUUUACGCUGAGGAACCAUCCUAGGGUUCAACAGAGCAGUAGUUACCCCAAAAUCAAAGCCCAAGGUACACUGCACAUACUGCAACUUUAGUGACUAGAGCAACAAGAUUCAAAGCCCUGUGGAAAAGCAUCAACCCUAGCAAUAAAGCAGACCCAAGGCCCAAUACCAUCAGACCCGGCCCGAAAUGGCAACCACCACCUAUAAGCAAAUCGUCGCCGCCAUACGACCUUGCCUCAUCGUCGCUACCCUUGAAAUCACCGACUCUAGCAGAGGAGCCACCACCCCGAGCACAAUCUUUGCCCCAAAAAAAAGAAUCCAACAACGACGUUGCCCUAAAAGUGAAUUCUAUCUCAUCCACAUAUACAUGUAAUAGUCAUUUCGACCAUAACCACUAAUACAUUUUUAGUAGGCAUCAGUACUAAAAAAUUUGUAAGUAAAACUGCAAAUUUUUGGUUGAUCAAAUUAAUGGCUGACAAUGAUUAACAUGACAAACAUAUAAUUGGAUUAUUUUGGUUCAAAAAACAAACUGUCAUUCAACAUAACCAAGCGUUAAGCCCUGUUUGGUAUAGCUUCACUUUUAAAAUAAAAAUAAAAAAUAAAAAUAAGAUUUGAUCUGUACAUUUAAUAGUGUUUAGUAAACUAAAGAAAAUUAGUUUUUUUUAAAAGUAAAAAAUUUUUUUUUAAAAAACAAAAAUUACAGCUCAUUGGUGGCGAUGGCAGCAGCUUUUAGAAUCAACCUUGAGGUUGUUUUUAGAAGCUGAUGUCAUUAAAAACACUAAAAAUUAAUAUAUUUUAUCUUGGUAUCACUUUAAAAACUAAUAUUUACCAAACACAAAAUUAAUUUAAUUCACAGCUGAGUAUUUUUGAAGUACAAUAACAACAAUUUUUUUUUAAAUCACAGUAAUACCAAAUUAGCCCGGAGACAAAUUCCCAAACAAUGACAAGUCCCGAUAAAAACAAGCAUAAUGGAUUGAUACAAGCACAAAAAGUUGGCUCACAGUUGUUUAUUCAACUCUCUUAUCAAUUAUCUAAUUUAAGAGGCACUAUAAGUAGAUGAGUCACAUACAAGAAUUAAUACAACCUCCCCACUUCUUUUUCUAAUCUUGAUCAAUUGAUUUUAGCAGUUUUCAUGCUCCAUGCACUUCCUGCGAUUUUGACACUCUCACUUCCAUAAUUGAAAGCAUAUAAAUGGGUAUCACCAUCAACAGCCAAUGUAGGAUACACCCUAGCUGUUAUGCACGCCUUGCCUUUUCCACCAAAACUCUCCACUAUAGAGUGAUCAAUCUGCAACAUUUUCAAGUGUACGUGUGAGAGAACAAGUUUGUUUCAUGAAUCGGGUAUAAUGAAAAAGAGUGAAGAGAGCCAUCCAUAAAGUGCUAUGUUAACAACUGUAGAAAAAGAAAGUGCCAUGCACAAUAAUGUGCACAGAAAGUGGGAUGGACCUUUUUCGUAUUUGCUUGCUACACAUCAUUUACCUCAUCUCGAAGAACUAAAUUGUUUUGAUUAGAGGGAAUGAACAACUGUAUAGUUUUUAGAAAGGAUUAAUAUCGGUUUACCCCAGUAAGAUUUGUGUGUAAUUUUAUUUCAGUUCAUGUUCUCUUAAUUUUAAAAAUUUACAUUCUGAAUUUUUCAAAUUUCGGCAAUCUUGCCCAUUUGCUAAAAUUAUGUCUAAUUUGGAAGUAAAUGCUGACAUAGGGCACAGUUAAAGAAAAUUAGAAAAUUCAAGAGGUAAAUUUUUAAAAUUAAAAGAAUAAAGAUUGUAAUGAAGUUAACUGGAGAACUCAAGAAAGUUAAAAUAAUUUAAACCUAGGUGUGAAUCGUGAAAAAUAACCCAUUUGUCCAUGAUCACCUAAAAACAUACAAUACGAGUAUUCUGAAACGCAUACAGCAUAUAGAAGUGACUCACAUGCUAAUGUGUUAGGUCAAGCUAGCUUUAUAAUCAAUUUUCUGGUAAGUUAACAUAAUUGUUGCUAUAUAUAAUUUCUAAGAAAUUGAAUACGAUACGGAAGAUGUAAAAGUCCAAAGGCAGCCUAAGUAGUUGCGUGAAUGUUCAAAUUUCAAGGAAAUGUGUAGAUUCUCAAAAUAUUUGAUGCAAAUUUCUGGUGGAUAAGACUUUUAAACUGGAAGACUAUGGAAGUCAUGACUCAUGAUAAUAGAAAGACUUGACUUUUCAAUAAAGAAAUAGGAGUCUAUAAGUUGUGCUUCAUAGCAACUUACCAAGCUUCUCAGUGACAACUUCUCAUAAAGAGGAUCCACAUUUACAAAUGCUCCAUAAGUUGUCAUAUCAUUAUCUGGGUUUAGAGAAGACCUACCAGAUAAACAAAAAGAAAUAAGAUAUGGGUUGAAAAGAGAUAGACAUGAUCAAGAAAAUGAUAGAGAGAGCCAGAUACCUGCUUUGGUCACUGCACAUAAGAACCACAUAUUUGUUGUUAUUGUUGUGAGACUUGAAAAUUCUAUAGAAGAUUGCUGUCUUUUCUUUCAAAUCCUUUGAAACAAAUGCCAACAAUCCAAAUGGUCCUAGAGCCCCUUUCACUGAGGUACCCUUUUUACUACACAAAAGUUGUGCAUUAGUCCAACUUGGAUCCGUAACUUCUGCUUUCUUGAGAUCACUUAUCUCAAAUGCGACAUCUACAUCGGCCUGUAAAAACAAAAAAAGAACACCUAAAGUUUAAAAAAAUUAUUCCAACAAUGUGAGAUUUAUUCAUUUUGUGCUCUUUAACGCGUGACAGAAACUCAUUUCGCUUAACUUAAUUAGAAACAAAUAGAAUGAUAGGAUAGGCAUACCUGUGCUGCUGUGACACCAAUGACUUCAUGAAGUGAUCCUCCUUUAAGGAGAGUGCUUGGUAACUUAACCUCCUUUGUUCUAAGUUUCUCAAGCUCUACUACAGGCCAUUGCACCAAUUGCUUUCCAGAUUUGUCGAGCACAAUAGUCCUUGGAAUUGCCUACGAGAGUACAGCCAAGAUGAAUACAAUAAGUCUAAAUUCUCAAGCGAGCUCAUUGAAGACUAACUUAAUUGAAUAGUAGCCAUUACUUAUCUACACCAUUGACCAAUUGUUAAAUGUAAUUGGCUAAUAUCUAAGCAUACGAUUAUAAAUAUAAGUAAAUAAUACCUGGAGUCCAGACCAUCCUUUCUUGAUAUCACCACUAACACUUGAGGACUCAUUGAUCCAACCCCACAAGAUUCGGCGGUUCUUUGCACUGUCAAAGAAGGUUUUUGAAGCAUAAAACUUACCAUAAUCAUAUCUCAAACCAGAAUCACUCUCAAUUGAUCCAUCAUCUGGGAUAUAGAUAUCCUUGCUCACAUUAUAUGUACCAAUUGUGUAGUACUCUUUCCUAGUGUUGUCCAAGCUAACUUUAAGUACAUGCUUAACAUCCGGACCAAUUGCAGAUGUGUCAAGACCAAGCAACUUAGUCUUCGAAACUGGGAAAAAAUCAGGGCAUUCCCACAUACCAUUUUUCGGUGUUGAAUAUAAUGGAUGUUUAGCCUUAGUCCAAUGCAUGAAAUCUUUGCUUCUGUAGAGGAUAGCUAGUCCCCUUUGGUUCCUUUUGCUUCCAAUGAUCAACCUCCAUCUCUUAUCUGGCCCUAGCCAAGCAGUGGUAGGAUCCCUAAAUGAGCUGGCAUUGAUUUGGUUAGCUUGAGUUGGAGCCAUUAGGGGGUUUUGUGGGACUUUAACCCACUCCCUAAGAAACGGGUCGGAAAGGUUUUUUGGAAAUGCCAAGUUUUGAACUUGUUCUUUGUCGGGGUUGAUUCCGGUGUAUAAAAUGGCCGGCUUUCCGCCGGGAAGGAUUGUGACGGACCCCGACCAACAGCCAUUGAUAUCAGAGAGAAUUGAUGGGUAGAUAGCAGCUUCAUGUGGAAUCCAGUUGACGAGAUCAGUGGAUGUGGAAUGUGCCCAAACAAUGUUACCCCAAACUACACUGCUGGGAUUGUAUUGGUAGAAUAGAUGGUAAAUUCCCUUGUAAAUCAGUGGCCCUGAAAAGAGAGUGCAAUAGGCAAGACGUAAGUAGAAGGUGUGGCCAAAAAUAAAAGGACCAAGCAUAUAAUCCACCAACGAGUAGUGUCUGACUUGUUAUACCAUAUUCGAUCCCCACACAUAAUCACAUCAAUGCAUUACAUUUACUUCCAUUGAAAAUGAAAACCAAGGCACCAUGCCAGAAAAUAUAAUGAACCAAACAAAAGAUCGACCACUGUAGAAAAUAUAACUCAGGGAGGGAGAAAGUAACUAACCAUUUGGAUCUGUGAGAAACCAAAGAAGCCACAACAUGUCCAUUUCCACAGUCAUCACAAGUCAAAUAUGAAAAACAAGGAGCAAAGAACAAACUGUUAAGAGUUGUAUAAACAAUAAACCAAGACAAAGACAGGUGAAAGAAGCUGAAGAAAAUGCAGAAAAUGAAAAAAAGCAGAGAGAAGAUUCAAGGUAAGUUGAAGAUACACAUACCAUUGAUCCAAUUCUUGCGAGGCUGGAAAUGAUAACCGGUUCUGUAAGGGUCUUUAGCUUGGGGAUGUGUUGAAGUAAGUUGGGUAGUUUGAAGGUUGCUAUAGACAUGGUGGGAAGCUUGAAGCUCAAUAACACCAUAAGAAAGCAAAAGUGAAAGAAGGCAGAAUUGCCAAAGAGAGAAUAUCAUCAUGGCUCUAUUGGCUUAGUGGGGGUUUGGAAAAAUGGUACUCUAUGUUGGGUAUAUAUAGGCCAGAAACAGUACUUGUCGAAUGAAGUGAUCUUUUGUUUCGUUUUUUUCUCUUUUUUUCUUCUUCUUUGGUGGAAGUCAAGGAUGGAGGGUUCUACGGAGAUCGUUAGAGGUGAAACACAGGAUAAACAUCCCAGCAUACAAUCUAGCAAGUUUGUGAUAGUAUAGAAGAAUUUUUUAGAAGAGAAGGAUCCUGGAAAUGUGGGAAUUUUGGUUGAAGAUAAAUAACUGGCAAACUACAUAAUUUGGAAUUUGGAUCAGCAAAAUAAUGGUCAAAGGUCAAAGAGCAGAAUUUUUUUUUAUUUUUGUUUUGGCCGAAGUUAAUUCAUUUCCCGUGUUGGCUUCCUGCACAAUGAAGAAGACAAAUCAAAUGUCUAAUCAAAUUUUUUUUUACGUUGAAUGCCACCGUCCAUUCUUUUUCUUCAUACCAAAAAGAAGUAAACCUCAAGCUAAAUAUGUACCACGUUAACAACGUAAACCAUGAGAAUCAAAAUCAUAGAAGUUUUAAAUACACACUCAAAACUACACAUCCUGUUUUUUUAUAUUUCAAAUUAGAUUUAUAGGUAUGUUACAUUAAAUGGUCAAAACAUACUUCUGUAAUAAUUAUGAUGUUUCACCUUGGCAACAACACUAUAGAGACGUUGAUCAUGCUUUUGAGACGAGAAAUUUCCUUUACAGCGGCUUACAGCAUUUUGACGGGUUCCUCUCUAUUAACGUCUAUUGGAUCGACUGUUAUUCAUGUAGUGUCGGUGGAUCCAGCUCUUGUUAGAGAUGUGGUGACGGCGAAAAAUACUUAUGGUCAGAAAGAGGAGUUGGCAUGGCUCUAAGUUGCUUCGUUAAGCGUGCUCGGAAUGAUGGUCCUAAUACGGUGGUCUGCCCGCUGGUGCUUGAGUUCACGUCAAAGUUGGCUCUUCCACAUGGAGCUGGGAUGAUCAAGGUGUCUCCAGCCAAAAAGAGAAAGAUUGGGAGGCCGCUGGGAUAUGAAGUUGAGUGUUGUUUUUUUGGGUCCUAAGAAAGCUAAGAAGAGGAGUUAUUGGAGUCAAUAGACAUUGUUUGUUGGAGAGAUUUCCGGUGGUGAGACUAGUGGUGCUUUUGAUGGUGAUGCAUUGGAGGAGAAGACGGUUGAAUUACAUUUAUCAUAUUAUUUGAUCAUUUAAAAUAAAAGUUAACUAUAAAUUUCAAUGGUUGAGAUUACUUGAUAAAUUUUAAGUACUAAAUCAUAACUCCCUUCUUUAUGGUACUCAAUUAAAGAAAAUCUCGCAAGAUUCCUUAACAUAGAAACCAUCAAAAGCGAUAGAUAGUACAGCAGCACAUCAUGUGCUCAACCUGAUGAUUUCCCUUGUGUUUCACUCAAGAGAGGCUGCUCUGAAACAUUGUACUUGAAUCCAGAGAGAAUUUAAUUUUCAAGUCAACCCACUAUCGUCUUUAGAAUUUAUACUAAUAUUAGGACACUGUACAAUACUCGGUCCCUAAAUUUUCUACGAAUCUCUAAGCUAGUAACUUCUUUAAUGCUCACUGUCGAAAAAAAAACUUCUUUAAUACUCUAGUACUUGAUGUAUCUCUUCCGAUCACUAAGUACUACUAAUUGUUUAAUAACAUCUCAGCUGGUUUAAAUCCUCUCGUCUUUGAGUAUGCACGCGUAUUAUGCGAGCUUUUAGAUUCUUAAUCUGAACGAAAAGCAAUUAGCUUAGCAACAUGUAUGUAUGGAUCCAGUUACCUAAUCCACUUAUCUUAUCAGUUAAAAAAAAUACAUAAAACUUAAUUUGCUCUAUGCACAUCGAUCUUUGAAUCUCAUAGAUCUUUGAAUCUCAUACAUUAGCUUUGAAUUGAGGAAAUAUAGAGACGUAGGGAACUCUAAAAGUUCUAGAUUUUGACAAUGGAGUCUAGUACUGGUCAUCGAUCUAUUAUUCUGUUUACCCCAAACCUAAUUUGAACAUGGUAGAGGAAUCAUGUCGAUGAUGAUACAUUAAAAUUAGAACUUACCCAAAGGGAAAAGAAAAACUUGGACACGACCUUAAAGAUCUUAAAGACCUUAAUGUCGACAGACAUGACAUUAAUCUAAGUCGAUUCUAUGCUCCACUCUAUGAUUAGAUUCUUAUUUGCACAAUAGUACUGAUGAGCAUUUGUAGACACUAACUAAUAACUAAUCAAUGGGUUUCAUAAUCACAUUGAUGAGUUCCACGAGUGACUCAUGAACAAAGAUGUUGCCUUUUUAGUGCUUUGUAACAAGCAUUACGUGUUACAAUUUUUUUGUUUGUUCAAAUGCCUUUUUGACUAUGUCAAUAAUCAAUGGACUUUUUUUUGUUGAAUAUGAAUCACAAUUAUUUAUCGAGAAAUUUUAUUAACACAUCCCUAAUUACUAUAUACACAUCUUAUAUUUAAUACACCAUCUAUUAAUUUUCUUAUUUUAACAUUUGACUAGAUACACAUUUUAAACUUCCUACAAUACCCUCAUUUAACAUACAUAACUUGUUCACUAAAUUUAAUAUACACAACUUAUACAUUAAAUACACAACUCAUUCACUACACAUAAUUUUCUAGAUCGGUUACUCAAAUUUUUUUCUUAAAAAAAAAUCACAUUACUAAGAUUUUUCUCAAAAUGUUUCAUAUUUCCUCGUACUGUUUCACCUCAUUAACAUAUUCUUCAAAUGUAUUUAAUUUUUCUCUAAAGCAUUUCACCUUGUUAAGAUCUUCCUCAAGGGAUUUCAUUUUGUUAACAUCUUCUCCUAUCAGUUUUCCUCGACAAUUUUUAUUCCCAAAUAGCCCCUCUUACUCAAAUUGAUUCUAAGAUUUCUUGAGCCUACUGAAUCAAAACAAAACAAAACAAAACAAUACAUCAUCAAAGUCCUUAACGGAACUUUUAGCAUUAGAAUGAAUUAAUCGAUUCUUGGGAACCAUUGCAUAAUAUUCAUAUGUGGUGUCAAAAUAUUGGUACUCGAUUCAAGUUAAAAAUUAAAAAAUGUUUGAAGUACAAUAGUUAAUAUUAACGUUUUAAACAAUAUAUUUUAUUUCAACUAAGUUUCUUUACUUUUGAUAUGAAUGUAUUUUUUGGUAAUUUUACAUACCUAUAAAGUCUUAUAUAAUUUGUAUAAAAAAAGAGAUGUGUAUAUAGCAUUUAGGGAUGUGUUAAUAAAAUUUCUCUUAUUCUUUUUUUAGGAAAAAUUACUAUAUUAUAUAAUCCAAAGUUACAACUAAUGAUUACAGUGGACAAGAACCGAAAUGAGUUCAACCAUAAAACCUACCAAAUCCAGAAGCCUUAAUACAUUCUCACAGUCAACCUUAAGAAGAAACAACCAUUUCAAACACUAAGGCAACACAACAUGCUGUAGUAAAAAGGCAACAUCUUUGUUCAUGUCUCUGCCUUUUUCAGAAGGCACAAUUUCUAGGUUGUUCACAUCACUGCAUUCAGCAACCUCAGCAGAUUUAAACACCUGAUCUUGGAUGAUAAUAGGUUUUCGUACCUGAACUGAACUUUUUGGGGGGGGGGGGGGGGGGCGGCGCAGAAAAUCUUCGAACAGGAAGAAGAGCAGUUUGGUCUCCCAUCAAAGUGAAUUUCCCAUUGACCAUAUUUCGGCUAAACCCUAACCUAUUGCGGUCGCCUCUGAGCCAAGCGAAGUACGCGGUGGUACUGGUUUGGAGGCAGCAAGGCAGACGUCAUCUUUGUGAAAAAUCAAAGAGCUUUGCAUAAACCAACCAAAAUACCAAAUUAUCAUAAUAGAAGUGCAUUUCAGAUUCAAUGCAUGUCAAACUUGAUAAUAUUUCUAAAAUGUUAGGUUAUGUCAUGGCCGGGUGACCCUAACCCUAAUUUCCCUUUAGUUUCAAUAAAGGUUCAUCAAGUUAUUCAUAGCCUCUAGCCAUAGAAGAUAUAUUUUUGAUAGGGGAAAAUUUUAAGAACAUGACAAAUAGUCCACUCUUAUUUUGGUGUUUCAAGUUUCAAAACAAUCAUAACGGUACAUGAACUUGUAAUCUCAACCGAAAAUAUGUACAUACCGUUACAUUCUCCGUUAUCUAACGUGUUUUCAGUUAACUUUGAGGGGCAAAUCUAUCACUCCUUAAUUUAGCAGUAAUAAAUUAUUAAACUCAAUAAUUAAUAAGGAGAGGGAAAUAAGAAAGAAAAAAGUAUUGUUGUCUCUUUUUUUCGUCCCUGUUCAAACUCAGCAUACACAAAAAUGGUGAUCGAGGUAGGACUGUAGGAGGAAGUUGGAAGAUGAUUUGAUUUGGUAAGUUAUGGAAGAAAGGGUUUGAAUAUAUAUCAGUGGGCGGCCGGGUAUUGAGUAAGAAAACUUAGAGCGAGAAAGCUAUGUCCUAGUUUUACUUGAAUUGGGACAAGCAGCGAAGUAUUUUUUUUUAUUUUAUUUUAUGAAUAUGAGCUUUUCAUUAAAACCAAACCUGGUAACUUAAUUACAAAUACAACGAAUAGUAAGCAAAGAAACUGGCUAAGGGAAAACAACAAAGUUUUUGAGAAUAUAUGGUCUAAGUUUACAAGAUUAAAAAAGUAUAUAAAUAGAGAAAAAAAAAAAAACAAUAGUAUAAAGAAAGAGAGAAUGGAGAAAACCCAAAACCAUUAUUUAAAAAUAAGAAAUUAUAUAGAGUUAACGGUGUUAUUAACGGUAUGUGCUAAAAGUGUGACGACCUUUAAACAUCACGUACUAUUUUGAUUGUUUUGAAACUUGAAACACCAAAAUUGAUAAUGAACCGUUUGUCAUGUACUGUUUUUAAAAUUUUCCCUUUUGAUAGUAUGUCAAUGUUGAUAAUCAGGAGGAAAACUAGUCAUACGAACCCAGAAGAAGAGUUCAGUCAUAGGUACCUGAGAGAUGGGAGAAACUCCAUCAUAUAUUGGGAGAAUUAAUGAUGGGAGCUUUGUCAUACCUCCAAGGGCCUCCUCGCAUGACUUUGUUUCAGUUCGGUUUGAGGUCAAAAGUGAUCAAGAAACGAUCUUCAGUACGUUGUUCAACCCUAUAGCCUUUCUUCAAGACCCACAUACGGUGGAGAUCUCGCUUGAGAUCGAUCAUGAAGGUCGGGAGGAGGUUAAGGUCGAGCCAGUAGCUGUGGUGCCCGACGCCGGGGCACACCUCCUUCCAUGCAUCUUUGAGACGUCAAGCACAUCAUGAGGGCAAGGGAUUUUACAAAGGAUGCAGUGACAGCGUCAAUGGACAUGGUAGGAGAUUGGAGAGAAGGAGUGUCGAGAGGUUGAAGAAAAGGAUAAUACCCCAAGGGUGGAUUGGCAUCUAAGAUGAAAGCCUAGGGUUUUGGAGAGUACGGCUGCCGCUGUGCUAAAGGAAAGCAAAGAAGCGAGGUCCAUAGAUCUUGUGUAGGGAAUGACACAUAACCAAGUGGUUAAAACCACACACCAAUGUCGACACCUAUUUUGAUUUUUGAACAUGAAGGUACCAAAAUGCUUUUAUAUAUUUCAGCACCUUCUCCACGUACGUUAUAUGGAUGUAGAUGUCUAUCGACCAAACGACAUAUAUAAUCAAAGACCUGCUCGAUCCAUGGGUGUGAUGCUCCAUGAUUAUGGCCAGACUGGCUUGUUCUAUAAGGUUAAUUAACACUCCCCCUGAUCUAACCAAAUAAUUGAUCACAUAUUUCUUUAAUAUAGCUAGACCUCUCUAUAUAUCUCUCUUCAAAUCUAACAAAUUCUAUGGCAUUUGCUUCUAUUAUUGGUGUAUAUAUCAAAAUGAUAAAAGUAUACAAGUAUACAACCUUACGAAAUCGAUUGCGAUAAUGUAUUAUUGGUCUCGAGGGUUAAUUUGUCAGCUACAAGAUCGUAUCCAAGAUUGCUCGACAUGCUUGCGCGCAUGUCAGCCACUCAAUCACUUCAGUCUGGCUUCAGAUGACCAAGCUUUCAGUAUUAUACAUAUGGGAGGUAUCAAGCUGCAGUCUGCAUGUUUGAUUCACCUGUAUUCAUUCUUUCACGUACAUGUAUAAGGACCACAGCGUGCAGCUAGCUAAUACUUGAGAAUUAUCAUCAAUAUGUUUCCCUUUUCGCUGGGUCAAAUUUGAUUCACAGGCCAUGCCGGACAUUAAAACAAAACGAAACCCAGCUCAAUAUUGGCAUGAUCAGCUUAGUAUUAUUGUAUUUAUAUAGAGAUAUACACCAUCCCCAUACCUCAAAUAUGGGGCAACAUAACUGCAUAGUGCUAUCUUUUUCAUUUUUCUGUGGUUCAAAAAAAUACAACACGUUGAUCUGUCUUGUGUUUGUUAAUAUAUAUAGAACAAUAUAUUGUGUUUCAAAGAAAAUCGAUUAGGGAAUAAUGUGCUUUUCAUUUAGGGAAAAAGCCUUAAUGCACAAAUAGUAUCUUUUCCUAACCCAAACCAAUCAAAAACAGAUUACACAGCCCAAACCAAUGUUUCCUAGUAAAAAUACAGUUAUACUCCAGUCUUAAUAACCGCUUCCAACCCACUCCGAAUUCAAUUCCUUCAUCGACGCCACUCCGAAUUCAACAGUUCUCACCACUUCACUCCAUCGACGCCGCUUCGCUGCUUCAGUCAAUCGACGCCGAUUCGCUUCUUCAAUCCAUCGACGCCGCUGCCUCACUCCUCACUCCAUCAAGACCUCAGCACCCAUCCCCGCGCGCCGCUUCGCUGCUUCAGUACUUCACUGCCGCCGCUUCACUCAAUCGCCGCCGCUGCUUCACUCCAUCGCCACCACUAUAUCGCGCUAAAUUCUUCUUUUUCAGGUGAAAAGAAACCCUAGCAUAAAUCUGUGUUUGUACCCCUAAUAAUGUUGUCUGGGUUCAUAUUUCUCUGCUUCAAUGUGUUUUAUGGCAAUGUAGAAACGGUGUGGCAACUUUACUACCCCUAGUACAACUUUACUACCUCUAGUAAAACUUUACUAGGGGUAGUAAACUUUAAUUUUUGUUUGCAUGUCAGUUAUUUCCACUAUCUAGAUGUGUCUAAUGGUUGUGUUCAAUACUAGGGGUAGUAAAACUUUGAUUUUGUUGAAUGCGAGUUGUUUUCUAGGUCUGCAUGUGUAUAAUAGUGUUGGAAAUAGAAGUUUACUACCUCAGUAGAAGUUACAAGGGGUAGUAAAAUAAAGUUUUGUUUGCACAUCACUUGUUUCUCUUUCAGAGUGUAUAUUGGCCUUGGAGAUGUUCUAUUGCAAGUUUACUAUUGCAAGUUUACUAUCCCCAGUUGAAAUUUACUAGGGGUAGUAAACUUUUUAAUAUGUAGUUUAUAAAGACAGGAUCAGUAGGGGUAGUAAAACUUUGGUGUUUUGCAUAUGCAGGAUGGCACGAAGGCAACUUGUUACUAGUCCAGAGUCUGAGGAAACGUUCGUCAACACAAGCAUGAAAUUGCGCUCAUAUAUACAACGGGAAAAAUUGAAGGUUCCCCAAAAAAGAGCGAGACAAGAAGAAGAAGAAGAAGAAGAAGAAGUGGAACAAUAUUUUAUAGAGAAGAGAGCAUUAGAAGUGGCAGAAAUAGAGAAGGAUGACAAGGAGGAGGAGGAGGACGAGGAUGAGGACCUGGAAAAGAUUCCGCACACUCAACAGAAAUAUACUCUAGUAACAUUCUUCAAAUUAAUAGAGAGUCACAAAGACAAAAUCCCCUCAGAAACAUGGCAGCUGAUCAGUCAAACUUGCUUUCGUGAAAUGAUUAACGCAUUUAGAACCAGGAGCAUCGUUGCGGAUCAGGUCAGCAGAUUUGAGUUGGAUAUAGAAAUUUUAUUGAGGCACUAUUGCAAGGAGACAAAAAAGUUUAUGUUUGGAGAAAAAGAAAUGGAGAUUAAAGAGAAAGAUGUGCAUCUUUUGUUUGGAUUAACAAAAGAAGGUGAAAAUGAGGAAGAGAAAAUCUCCAGGAGAAAGAAGAGCAGCCAACAGUCAACCAUAUUCGGCAAAACGAAAGGAUCCAUCUUUAGGAAGAUGAUCCACGACAAGUUGACAGAAGAGCUCAACAAGAUUAAGAACAAGGAGGCAAAACCAAGGAAAAUUGCUUCCUUGAUCAUAAUGUACCUACUGGCUACUUUCUUCUUCAACACAUUUGGGAGCCAAAUUGAAUGGCAAAUGGUGCUGACAUAUGAGGACCUAGAAGCAAUAAACAAAAUAAACUGGUCAAGAAAGGUGAUUGAAGCCUUCCAUGAAGGAGUGAAAAAGCAUGUCAAGGGCAAGCCAAAGGGUCUGAAUGGUUGCGUAGUUCUGCCUCUGUACUGCUUCUUGGAGCGUACAAAAAUCAAGGAAAUGAUCCAGAAGAAACAAGCAGAUAUGCCAAGAUUUGUAAGAUGGUCCACAAAUGGCAUCAUCUAACGGAAGCGACUAUCUAAAGAGAACCGAAAAAGCUGAGUAAAAUUGGUUUUGGUUUUCCAAAUAUUAUACAGCAUUGUACUUAGAUGAUGUUUCUAGAAAAACUGAAACAAAUCUUUAUUUUGCAAAAAACAGGAACUGGUUGCUCAAGGUCCAUGGAAGGAUGAGGAAGAAAGCACUUCCGGAUCAGAGGAAUAUGGCACCCCAGACGAACAUGGCACCCCGAGCUUUGAANNNNNNNNNNNNNNNNNNNNCAAAGACAAACGAAGAACUCCAGAAUAGAAUCAAUGAUUACGUGCACAAGUUACAGCUUGCCGAAUGACAAAAUAAAGCAGCUGGAGAUUGAGAAAAGGGCGCAAGACAGCCUCAACAAGGCUCUGAAAGAGAAAGCUUAAAAAAGCAAAAUCCUCAACAAAUGGACCUCCCAUCAGAAAAGGCAAUUCGGUGGGGAAGAGUAUGGCUGCCAAGGAGAUGAACAAACAAAAGGGAAUGUAAGAUGAUACUUUACACUAUAACUAAGACUGUUUUUUACUUUAUUUUGUUUUCUUUAUUAUGUUAACUAAUAUUUUUUUUUUAAAUUAAAAAAAUCAGGAAGACCAGAACAGAAGCCUGACAGUUAAGUUCAAAGUUGAAACUGCACAAACAACACAAUAAUGUAGAUGAUCAACCAGAAGCUUGGGUGAGAAUAUAAAAUUACUAGGGGGUAGUAGACUUAAUAGGGAAACUGUGUUGCAAGGUAGUAAAACCCCAGGCAAACUAUUACUAGGGGUAGUAAAUGUUUUGUUAUUGUUUAAAAUCUGAGAAUAACAUGUCUUAUUUUAUUUUAUGAAGGCUGUGAUACAUGAUGAACAACCACUGAAUCACGUAUCUCCAGUAAUGGACUAUGAGAACUUGCCGCUCACAGAGGAUGACAACUGUAAUUUAGAUAAGAUAGUUAAGUCCCAAGCUGCAUCAAUGCAACAAUCAGCAACAGAAAAGGACAAUGACAUCUCUGCGACAGUUCAGUCCCAAGUUUCAUCAACCGAACAAACAGCAACAACAGAGGAUAAAGGGAUGAAUACUUAUUCCAAGAAGAAGAAAGCAAUGGCUCCGAUGUCGAUAGAAAAAAAUGUGAAGCUGAACCCUAGAAAUGCCAAGAAACAAAGGACCCUGACUGGGAGUACAGCACUCCAAAAGACAUUCAAGUCCACAAAAAAUUAUAAUCAAGAAUCUGAAGUGUGACAACAGUACAUGGGAUUCACUGGGCGACGAUUUGAAAAUGCACUACAAACAAUGGUUUGAAGCCCGCCCGAACAAAAAGGAAGAGUAAGUUUCAAUUAUAUAAAACUUUACAGUUUGCUUAUGCAAAAUUACAAAAAUAUAUUUGUUUUAAUUAGAGUAUGAAUUCAAUGUUUUUCUACAGUGAAGCGUACUGGACAUGUCCUGAAGGCUGACACUGUUUAUCAAAGAGUGACUUGAAAAGGAUCAUCGAACACUCAGACAUAUUGUCGAGUGUGAGUAAUAAAAAAAUAAAUAAUAUCACCUUAUUAGCACCACUCAGUGAAGUUUAGAUUUAAUAAUAUUGACUUAUGUUAUGAUCGCAAAGCCUGCAAGUGUACAUGAGGUUGUUGAAGGAAAGGGCAGAAGCUGCCAAACUUCCUGUUGGAUUCAUGAACAUGGAGAUUGUGGUAAGUUUACUAGGGGCAAUAAAACUUAUAUUUUCAUCAAGAUAUUAUUUUGCAAGUUUACUACCCCUAGUAGUAGAUUACUAGGGGUAGCAAACUUAAGUUUUUGGUAUUUAUCUUUAUUUUUCUUUCAUUUAAUCUCUAUAAUGACUGUGAGGAUACCAUAUGGAAACUUUCAUGUAAAUUUAAUACCUUUCAUAGAGUAUUUUUGAAUGCAAAACAGCAUUAUGUGUUGCUAUCGAAAGUUUACUACCCAUAUAAAAUUGUUUUUUUGAGUGCAAAACAGCUUAAUAAAUAGCUUUCGAAGGUUUACUACCACCAACAAUGUGUUUUUUUAUUGCUCUGAAAACUUUACUACCCCUAGUAAAGUAUGUUUUAGGGUGCAGAAUAACAAAAUAUGAUGCUCUGCAAACUUUACUGCCCCCAGUAAAGUAUGUUUUAGGGUGCAGAACAACAAAAUCUGAUGCUUUGGAAACUUUACUACCCCUAGUAAAGUAUGUUCUGGGUGCAGAACAACAAAAACUGAGGUUCUGGAAACAUUACUACCCCUAGUAAUGUGUUAGGCUGCAGAAUAACUAAAUCUAAUGCUUUGGAACAUUACUACCCCCAGUAAAGUUUACUAUGGGUUGUAAAAUGUUAUUUAUAUAUGUUGGUUGAUCUAAGGUUAAUCAUAUUUGUUUUUUAAAUGCAGAAGGAUGUGAUAGAGCAUGAAACAAUGUUGGAACUGCACAAGCUAAAUGGAGGAAAAACUGGAGACUUCAAAAGUGGUUAUGAACUCCGUAUGGAGGAAAAACUUUGGACCCUGUUUGGAAAGUAGAUGGUCUUCAUUCCGUUACAUCAUUGGUCCAGCCUUCACUACACUUUGCUACUGAUUGACAACAUCAACAAACGCUUUUAUCACAUGAACUCUUCACUGCCAACACCGUACAAAGAAAAAGACAACUUUCACUUCAAACAUGCAAAAGCAGUGGUGAGUAAACAAUCAAACAUUUUUAUUAAAAAAAAAGAAUUGUUAAGGUUAACUAAUGUUUAAAAAUUGUUUUGUUGCUUAAUAUACAGGUGAAGCACAUCAAGGAGUUCAUCAAACGUAUACAUUAUACAACUGUGUUUUCUUUGAGCCAAGACCUUGACCAGAAUGAAUACAGGGAAGAUUACGUGAUUGAUUACGCACCCGAGGACAGUCAAGGCAGAAAACCUAGCAACAUAGUGAAAAUGACAGAGGACGAAAAGGUGACAAGACGUUGGAUUAUUGAUCAUAACAUCCAUCACAAACCAUACAAACUAACUGAACACCGCACAUGCCCCCAACAAAAUUUAUCAUCGUAAGUACAUGAAUAUUCUUCUUGUACAUGUAUAAUUAUUUGUUAGGGUUGAUAACUACAUAACCAGAUGCUUUGAGAGUUUACUACCCCUGGUAAAUGUUUUUUGUUAGGGGGGUAGAACAGCAUAAAUGAGGGGGUAGUAACAGCAUAAAUGAGGGGGUAGUAAUGUACAUUAAUAUUCAGAUUUAUUUUCUCAGUCAAAAUAAGUUAUUAACAUAGUUAGCCCUUUGAUUUAUGGCAGGUCUGAUUGUGGUCCAUUUGUUCUACAUUAUAUGGAGGCAAUGUGUGUUGGGUUGGAUCCAAACCAAGAAGGCGGCAACCAAAUGAGGAAGAAGAUGUUAGAGGAGUUUGCGAAAUUAAACAAAUGAUUUAUGUAACUUUUGCUAGAAUUGUGGACAGAUAUCACAACUAAGACUGAGAUCCAAUUUUAAGUUCUAUUUUGAAACUUUCAUGUAAAUUUAAGGGAAUUUAAUACCUAGUAAACUUUCAUGAACAUACUUUAAUACCUAGUAAAGUAAUGGUUUAUUACCAUCAGCAAUGUGUUUUUUUAUGCUCUGGAAACUUUACUGCCCCUAGUAAAGUAUAUUUUAGGGUGUAGAACAACAAAAUCUGAUACUUUGGAAACAUUACUACCCCUAGUAAAGUAUGUUCUAGGGUGCAUGACAACAAAAACUGAGGUUCUGGAAACUUUACUACCCCUAGUAAAGUAUGUGUUAGGCUGCAAAACAAGUAAAUCUGAUGACUUGAAAACAUUACUACCCCCAGUAAAGUUUAUUACUGGGUGCAGAACAACAUCACUACCCUUUUAGUUAAGAUUUUUUAUGCUCUGGAAACAUUAUUACCCCUAGUAAAGUAUGUUCUAGGGUGCAGAACAACAAAAACUGAGGUUCUGGAAACUUUACUACCCCUAGUAAAGUGUGUGUUAGGCUGCAGAACAAGUAAAUCUGACGACUUGGAAACAUUACUAACCCCAGUAAAGUUUAUUACUUGGGAGGGAAGAACAGAAAAAAAAAUAAAAAAAAAGAUCAUGUGUAAUGUUACUGACCCUUAGAACUUUAAUGCUUGGGACAGAUGAACAUAAUAAUAUUGUCAAGAGAAUUCCACAAUAAUGAACAUCACAAAAAUCUUCAAUCAAAAUCCUUACAAAAGAGAAAAAUCUGAAUAUAGUUCAAAAAACAUCCAAAAAACAACAAAUCCCAAACAUCCACUAACACCAGAAAGAUAUACAAGAAACUACAGCAACAUGUUCAAAGGUUCCGUACAGCUGUUCUUGUUAUGAUGGCCCAUCUUAUUACAACGACCGCAUUGAAUCAGCUUCUUCUCACCAGCAGAUGUUAUCCUCUUUGAUUUAGGCCUCCCAGCCGGCCUCUUUGUAACAAGAGGUAGUAUAAAGUCCUCAGUGGAAGAACAAGAGGCAUCCACGUUACUCAGAGGUGCAAUAGGAAAACUAUAACACAUCCUAUAGUAUUCAGUAGUAAAAUAAGGAUCAAUGAAAUCAUACACAUCAAGUUUUGCACCUUGUAUAGCAGCAAGUGCAUGAGCGCAUGGGAAGCAAUUAAUCUGCCACUUCACACAUGAACAAGUACGAGUAGAGAGGUCCACUGAAUAGGAGUACUUAUCAUUCCUAACCUCAUAAACAUUUUCAUGGGAAGCAAUCACCCUGAACACACGAGACCUAUCAAGCUGCUCUUUCAGCCUCUUCUCCAUUUUAGGAGUAAGCUUGGUAGUCCAAGAUUUCGACUCAACACUCAUUUCUGACAUCAUCUUCAUUUCUUUCAUUCUUGUUUGAUCUAACAUAACGAAAGGGGGUAGUGAACGCUCAGCAACAAUCCAGUUAUUAAAGGAUUCAGCAAUACCAUUUGCCAUAAUCUCAUACCGACAACCUUUAAAAAAAGCACGGCACCAAUGUUCCAAUUGAAUCUCCCUUAUGAAUUCAUCAAUAAUAGCAGCACCACCCUCGUCUCUCAAAUUUUUUAAAUGAAAGUAGAAAGACUUCUCAGUCGAUGCAUAAGCCACUUUAAAGAAUUUUUGUAACACAUCAGCAACAACAAUUUCCCCUCUUUUGUUCUUAUACUUUCGACUAAGGUUGUAUCGCAAAUGAUGAUAACAGUAAAGAUAAGGAUUAACAUAGUGAAAAAUCAACUUAGAUGCGAAAUAAUAAAGUUUACUGGGGGUAGUAACGUUUAAAAUAGAGAUUACUACCUUAGUAAUCUUCUACUGGGUGUAGUAAACUUGCAAAAUAAUAUCCUCAAAGGCCGUAAUACACAUUAAAACAUGCUUCUGCACAGCUAAUAGGAGCGUUCCUUUCCAAAACUAAAGACUAACAAAAAAAAAUAAAAAAAAAUCAGAAGCAUGAAGAUUUUCAAAAUUACUAGGGCUAGCGUUCCGCUCCAAAACAAAAGGCUAACAAAAGAGAAGAAACAUAAAAAACAGCGUGCAGCUGCACCGUUAACGGGAGCGUUACGCUCCAAAAACAUAACAUGUACAACUAAAAACAUGAAAAAAUUACUAACAAUUACUAGGGGUAGUAAAAUAACAGGAGGUACCUUUGUUUCCAUUUCUUUCAGUUGCAGCAAGAAUCUGCCCUUUGUAUUUGCUCUUUCCAAAGGCACCAUCAAUUUCUAAGUUAUUCUUUUCACCUUUCAGUCAAUAACUUUGUCAUUGUUCAAUUAUGUAGAACAAAAUGUUAGCAGAAUUGAAUCAAACCAAGGANAAGCUAGCUAAAGUUCUUGGGGCAACCUCACUUGACGAGAUAGAAGUUCCAGUUUCAANNNNNNNNNNNNNNNNNNNNNNNNNNNNNNNNNNNNNNNNNNNNNNNNNNNNNNNNNNNNNNNNNNNNNNNNNNNNNNNNNNNNNNNNNNNNNNNNNNNNNNNNNNNNNNNNNNNNNNNNNNNNNNNNNNNNNNNNNNNNNNNNNNNNNNNNNNNNNNNNNNNNNNNNNNNNNNNNNNNNNNNNNNNNNNNNNNNNNNNNNNNNNNNNNNNNNNNNNNNNNNNNNNNNNNNNNNNNNNNNNNNNNNNNNNNNNNNNNNNNNNNNNNNNNNNNNNNNNNNNNNNNNNNNNNNNNNNNNNNNNNNNNNNNNNNNNNNNNNNNNNNNNNNNNNNNNNNNNNNNNNNNNNNNNNNNNNNNNNNNNNNNNNNNNNNNNNNNNNNNNNNNNNNNNNNNNNNNNNNNNNNNNNNNNNNNNNNNNNNNNNNNNNNNNNNNNNNNNNNNNNNNNNNNNNNNNNNNNNNNNNNNNNNNNNNNNNNNNNNNNNNNNNNNNNNNNNNNNNNNNNNNNNNNNNNNNNNNNNNNNNNNNNNNNNNNNNNNNNNNNNNNNNNNNNNNNNNNNNNNNNNNNNNNNNNNNNNNNNNNNNNNNNNNNNNNNNNNNNNNNNNNNNNNNNNNNNNNNNNNNNNNNNNNNNNNNNNNNNNNNNNNNNNNNNNNNNNNNNNNNNNNNNNNNNNNNNNNNNNNNNNNNNNNNNNNNNNNNNNNNNNNNNNNNNNNNNNNNNNNNNNNNNNNNNNNNNNNNNNNNNNNNNNNNNNNNNNNNNNNNNNNNNNNNNNNNNNNNNNNNNNNNNNNNNNNNNNNNNNNNNNNUCUCUCUCUCUCUCUCUCUCUCCGAUCGUAAACUUUCUCUCUCUUCAAAACAGAAAUUUGAAAAUGGAUCUCGUCUGGUAUAUAUAGUCCACGGGUUGAGGGUAUUUUCGACAGAAAAAACUGUUAAAAGUUGGCCCAUUAGAAAAGUUUUGUCCAAUAAGGCACAUUUCACACACCUUAUAUUGAAGUGGACACAUUUCUUUUAAAAGCAUUUAAAUGGGCAAAAAGAAGCUUAAAUUAGUACUAAAGUGUCAUUUACUCUUUCAUUUAUAAUAUUAAAAAAAAAAAAGCACUGAAAAGAGCAUGCCACAUAUAUAUAAUGCAUGUAGAAUUAUUAACAUAUAUAUAUCUAUAUAGAGCGUGUACGUAAUACGUGAUAUUGGAAAUUUGUUUUUGAUCGGUCUUUAUAUAUACAUUGACGUUGAGCUGGAUUCAGAGAUAUGAUACACACAUAACAACUGUAAAAAUCAAAGCGCGCACCGCGCAGAAAGAGUAAAGCAGCUCAAAAGGUAGUGGAAUGAACUCUAAUUAUAACAAUAUUUUUGAUAAACAACUCUAAUUACAACCAAUUCGCCAUAUGUGAAAUAAAAGAUAGAUAACCUUUCCACGAUAUGUUUGUUAUGUUUUGUUUUUUCUGAGAAGAGAAGGAGUCUCGAAGACAAGAUAUGUUUGAUUAUUAGAAGGAAUAAGAGGGGAAAUUAGGUACCUAAAAUAAUUGUUAAAUAAUGAGGGCCUUUAGUGCACUUCUUCUAGUUUGCCGUUCUAGUUUCUGAACCUAGAUAUCAGAUCGUUCAUGAGCCGUGGUUGGUUAUUAAUAUGAAAGGGGUGUGAGUUAUAUAUAAGGCUUCUUGGCUACAAACGUCCGCACCAAUGAUUUUGGUGCGGAUUUUCAUUUUUGCACCACUUUUCGAUCGAAUUUCCUCAUCUCCACCAUUUAAUAUCUAGAUAAUAUUGUGUAGAUCAUCUCUGCAAAAUUUCAGCCAAUUUAGUAAUCGUUAAGGCCCUNNNNNNNNNNNNNNNNNNNNNNNNNNNNNNNNNNNNNNNNNNNNNNNNNNNNNNNNNNNNNNNNNNNNNNNNNNNNNNNNNNNNNNNNNNNNNNNNNNNNNNNNNNNNNNNNNNNNNNNNNNNNNNNNNNNNNNNNNNNNNNNNNNNNNNNNNNNNNNNNNNNNNNNNNNNNNNNNNNNNNNNNNNNNNNNNNNNNNNNNNNNNNNNNNNNNNNNNNNNNNNNNNNNNNNNNNNNNNNNNNNNNNNNNNNNNNNNNNNNNNNNNNNNNNNNNNNNNNNNNNNNNNNNNNNNNNNNNNNNNNNNNNNNNNNNNNNNNNNNNNNNNNNNNNNNNNNNNNNNNNNNNNNNNNNNNNNNNNNNNNNNNNNNNNNNNNNNNNNNNNNNNNNNNNNNNNNNNNNNNNNNNNNNNNNNNNNNNNNNNNNNNNNNNNNNNNNNNNNNNNNNNNNNNNNNNNNNNNNNNNNNNNNNNNNNNNNNNNNNNNNNNNNNNNNNNNNNNNNNNNNNNNNNNNNNNNNNNNNNNNNNNNNNNNNNNNNNNNNNNNNNNNNNNNNNNNNNNNNNNNNNNNNNNNNNNNNNNNNNNNNNNNNNNNNNNNNNNNNNNNNNNNNNNNNNNNNNNNNNNNNNNNNNNNNNNNNNNNNNNNNNNNNNNNNNNNNNNNNNNNNNNNNNNNNNNNNNNNNNNNNNNNNNNNNNNNNNNNNNNNNNNNNNNNNNNNNNNNNNNNNNNNNNNNNNNNNNNNNNNNNNNNNNNNNNNNNNNNNNNNNNNNNNNNNNNNNNNNNNNNNNNNNNNNNNNNNNNNNNNNNNNNNNNNNNNNNNNNNNNNNNNNNNNNNNNNNNNNNNNNNNNNNNNNNNNNNNNNNNNNNNNNNNNNNNNNNNNNNNNNCUAUAUAUAUAUAUAUAUAUAUAUAUAUAUAUUUCUUUAACAAAAAACAUAGAGAUCAGACCAAAUUAAACGGAAAGUAGGAAGAUAUAGAUUGGACCACUUUGUCAUCAAACGUAAAGCUAAUCCACAAUGUUUAGACUUAGACAAACAAUUAAUUCGGGGAUAAGCAUUUCAUGGUUGAGUCUGCUUUGUAAAAACAUGAAGAAAAAUGUUUUAGGGUUUUAGUUUCUUUGCUUAUCCUGCGGUGACCUAGGUCGAGGCUGACUUGCUUCGUUCUGGUGAGAUCUCGGAGGAUGGGUUGUAUAGGUUGCCUCCCUGCAAUGGGUCGUGAUGGUGAUGCUCUUUGCCGGCGGCUAGCGUCAACAUUCGUGGCGGCGAUUCUGCUCCAAGAUGCACCGUCCUUGCUUGGGUUGGGCCUUUGGUGGUGUCACACCCUAAUUUUCAAAAGAUAAUUUUUCAAAAAUUUUGGCAUGAUAUAUCCUAAAAUAUUAUAAUCCCAUAACCUGUUUCAAAAACAAACUUCACAGGAAACUAAAAUUUAAUGCGGAAAUGUAAUUCACCCAACUCAACACUGAGUUAAAUAUUACAUUUCCUUGUUUACAUAAACUUAAAGGUCAAGAAAAUGAAACACUCACAUGAGUUUAAUACUAUCUAACCCAAAUAUAAAAAUAUACAGAGUACAGCAAAACCCUGCCACUAAGCCUCUGCCUCAACCCUGCUGAUCCUCACCUGCAGAUCUAACCCCUACACCAAGAAUUGGUGCACCAGGUUGUAAACAACAAACCCGGUAAGCUAAAAAGCCCGUAUGAAUAAUUGUCAAAAUAAACACAACACCUCCAACAACCCAUUAUAACACAAGAGUAAUUUAUAUCAAUAAUUAAAACCACAAUUUCAACGCUAUCUCAAUUAACAUGUACUCAUGAGUCCCAGAUAUUAAUAAAUACCCCUCAUGACCUACAACAACAAAAUGUGUACUCAUGGGUCUCAGAUACCAUACAGUAUCUCCCAUGCCCUACACUGACAGACUGACUAGAUCUCUAUUCCUAACCGCAACCAAUCACCCGGCCAAAGGCUUGAAACCCGGUUUGACUGUCUAAUAUCAAACACAAAAAUGAUAAAUAACAUCUUAACCGCAACCAAUCACCCAAAUAAAGGCUUGGAACCUGGUUUAGCUAUUUAUCCAACAAUCACAAUAUCACAUCAUUAUCCUCAACAACACAAUAUCACAUCAUUAUUCUCAACAACACAAUAUCACAUCAUAAUUUAUAUCCUUACACAUGGAUAUAUUUAUAUGAACAAAAUAUAGAUAUUCUACAAGAAUAAUAUAUCAAUAAUCAAUAAAAUUAUGAUCACAUGAAUCUCAAAAUAGCAUAUAAAGAAAACUUGUUUUAUCUUACCUAUGAGCCGUUAGCGAUUAAGCUCAUAUAUUUUUAAAAACAAUUAAAACCAUAUUAUUAAAUCCAUCAUCAUCAUCAUUAUCAUCAUAUGACCAUAAUAACAAUAGGUUCAAAAGUGAACCUUGGUGAGAUUUACUCACCUAAUUAUCCCGUUGCAAUUUCCACAACCGACAAUAGCAACCAAACACAACUUCACAAUAUCACCUAAAAAUAACACAAUUAAAACCUUAAUAACUAAAAUACUAUAGGUUAUCACAAUACCCUUAACUAACCCUUAGUUCAAAGGAGGACAACUUUCCAAAGUCGUUGAACUUAGAGACUUAAAAUGGCUGCCUCUAAUCCUCAAAUCCUAACUCAAACCUCCACCAAGCCUAAUAUCCCACUUAAAAUUCUAACAUGCAAACCUUGCUCACAACCUAGGGAUUCUACAUCUCAACAAGCUCACAACAAUAAGAGCUAGUUAAAACACAGCAACCUAAGCCACGAACAUUGCCGGACGCGUUGCCACACGCCGCCACAGGCGGCGGUGGCGAGUGGGCCCCACGCGCCUCCACAAAGUUCCGAAUUUGAGAAAACUCUCAACAGCAAAGUUGAAGCUUGAAGCAAGGGGAACAACUUUCAUACCUGAGACUUCGACCAAUUUUGGCCGAAAUCGGCCGGAAACUGCCCCGCACAGUAACCUGAAAAUCAAACUACAAAACCUACAAAACCGGCCUCAAAACCACAAAAAAUUGCUUCAAUCUAUGCCUAGCCACCACUAGAAGGAGGAGAGGAUCAAGACUCACCUAAGGAUGCCCCUCGUCGCCGCCGGAAACGGCGAGUCCGACCAGAGACACAGCAGCCCUCUUUCCGGCAACAAGGCUCUGAUUCCGGCGUGCCACACCGAGCAACAGCUGCCCAACCUUGAAGAGAGCACUUGUGGGAGUCGAACGGGACCGGCGGCGGUCCAAAUGGUGGCCGGACGGUGGAGCUAGCUCCGGCGAAAGUUUGGUCCUCGGGAGAGGAAGAGGGAGAAGAGAGAGAAAAGAGAGGGAAGAGAGAAAAAAAAGAGAGGCUGACUUGUUUUUAGAGUUUCCAAAAACAUCCCACACACAUUUUUCUACUUGUACUCUUUUCAAACCCGGAAACAAACUUCCUCUGACCAUAACUUUCUCAUACGACAUCCGUUUUAGGCGUGCCGCAUGUCUACAAACUCAUAUCGACAAACUCUACAACUUUCAUGAAGGAAGUUUUCGAAUAUAACUUAUGAAAAAUAAAGUCAACUUUUGGCCUCUUAAAGUCAAAGCACCUUAAAUAAACUCCCGAAACUUCAACUUCGCAUAAACCAAAGAAUUUCCAUAAAUAAUCCUUCAUAAAUUAAGGGAAUAAUACAAGAAAAAAUGAUAUGAAAAUCUAGGGUAUUACAGGUGGCUUGCUUUUGGAGAUCCACUGGAUAUGGUUUGGGCCUGGGCUUUUAUGGGCCUAGGUUUAGGGUUUUUUGUUGUUUUGGUUUGGUUGUUGUCCCUCUGCUCUGAGCGGGGGUUUUGGCCUCCUCUUUGAGCGAGGAUAUAGGGUUUUGGUAGGUUAGUGUCGGAGUCGUGUCAUUGGUGUACCAUGUUUAUGGUGUCAUUUUUAGAGAUCAAUGUAAUGGGGAGGUUACAUGUGCAUAUAUGCUGGUAAUUUUGGCAUAUAGUGUUUGAAGAGGUUGUUUCUUUUUUAGGUUGACCAUAAAGAUGUAUCAAGGCUUCUGGAAUAGGUUAGGUAAUAGUUGAACUCAUUUUGGUUCUUGUCCACUGUAACCGUUUUUGUUAGGUAGGGAGAAGUGUGGGGAUGUUAUGUCUACCACUGAUGGCUCCCAUGAUUGUAAUUUCAGAUCUUAUUACCUUUCUCAAAAAGAAAAAAAAGAAAAAAAAAAAGAAAAACAAUUAAUCCGAAUGAUUCAUAAUGGUUCUAAAAAGCCACUAGUGUUUACAACAACCCCUCUCUUUCAUAGACAUGUUCCCUAGGCUUGCAGCAGGGUAAAUGAUAUGUUUUGGUUGAAGAAGCAGAGAAGCAAACCACGUCAUGUUCUCUUUCUCAAACCUAGCGAUUGUUUGGAGCUCAAGCAAGCUUCAUAGCUUCAUUAGCCUAUUGGGUGAAUGGGUGAUGGUGUACAGCCAAAACCACAGUCGCUUUCUCAAAUUGCGUCAUUAUUACUACUAUAUAGCUAGCUCAACUGUGUUAUUAUACUACUAUAUUGACUCGAGACUAGAUAGACUCUCUAAAUUUGGCUUUAUCAAUGAUAAGUUAUGUCCCAUUUGUAACAAUGAUAAGGAAGUAGUGAACCAUCUUUCAUGUUAGUGUGAUUUUACUACUAGUUUCAAAUCUUUUCACUGCUUCCCCAAUUGAUUGGGAAGAUGGUUACCUUAAUGUCUCUGAAUAUUUGCAAAAAUGAUUACCACUUGUUGGCAGAUAUGGAAAUGUAAUAGAAACUAGACGUCCUCACGAGUUCGUGGCAUUUUUCGGUGAAUUUUUCGACUUUUUAAAGUUUCAUUGAAACUUAUCCGAAAUGUAGAUGUGGCAGCUUCCCAUUGGUCAAAAGGCUGUUACUUAGAGCAACUCCAACAAAAGAAUCAAAUCCUUGUUGGUUGCCCAACAACUACUUUUGACAGCCCAAUGGGCUCUCCAAUAAAGGAGUCAAUUCCUACGUGAAUUUGGCUAUAGGAAAAAGGUUAUCAAAUUUGACACAGCCUGGGAGAAGAGUCAUUUAUUAAAAAAAUAAUUUUUGUCACCUCCGUCAUCGUUCGUUCUCUUUUCCCCUUCAGAAAUCCAGUUCUCGUCUAUCACCAUAACCCAAUUCUCAUCUCUCCUUCAUCUUUUCUUUAUAGGGACGUCUUCAAGGACACCAAAGACUAUUCAACGAUUACUUUUCUAAAAAUCUAAUUUAUGGAGAAGAUAUAUUUCGGAUAAGGUUUCAGAUGCAUCGAGCUCUGUUUCUUCGAAAUUGUAGAUGGGGUAACAGAUCAUGACUCCUACUUUGUCUAAAAAAGAGAUGAGGCUAGCCGCCUUGGAUUGUCUUCUCUACAAAAGUGUACAGCUGUGAUGAGAAAGCUCGCCUAUGGAGUUGGGGCAGACGUUGUUGAUGACUAUAUUAGAAUCAGUGAAAACACUGCAAUUGAAGCUUUGAGAAGGUUUGUCCAAGCGGUUAUUGAUGUUUUUAGCGCUCAAUACUUGAGAAGACCCACUGCUGAAGAUAUUUGCUGAUUGUUAUCAAUUGGUGAGAGUCGUGGGUUUCGAGGAAUGCUUGGUAGUAUCAAUUUUAUGUAUUGGAAGUGGAAGAAUUGUCCAGUUUUGCUUGGAAAGGUAUGUUUUCUCGUGGAGAUCAUUUUGAACCUUCUUUAAUUCUGGAAGCUGUUGCAUCAAAGGAUCUUUGCAUAUGACAUUCAUUUUUUGGUUUAUCUGGUUCCCACAAUGAUAUCAAUAUGUUGGAGCAUUCACCUUUAUUCGCCGACCUCCAUGAAGGCCGAGCUCCUCCGAUCAAUUUUAGGGUAAAUUAUCAAGACUAUAAAAUGGGAUAUUAUUUGGCUAAUGGCAUAUAUCCAUCAUGGUCCACUUUCGUCAAAACCAUUACAUGUCCACAAGGAGAGAAAGCAAAGAAUUUUGCUAAAGCUCAAGAGGGAUGCUGAAAAGAUGUAGAAACAGCUUUUGGUGUGCUUCAAGCACGUUUUGCAAUUGUGAAGGGACCUGCUCAUUUUUAGGAUCGUGAAACUCUUUAAAAGAUCAUGAAAGCAUGUGUUAUAAUGUACAAUAUGAUCAUUGAAGAUGAACGUGCCGAAUGCAUUGCAGUCGAUGAUCAUGAAAUUCUCGCAAGGUAGUAUGUUAAACUAGAUGAGCAAUUGGAAGAUCUGCUAGUUUCACGUAAUCACAUAAUUGAGUUUGAAUAAUUUAUUAGCAAUUAUUUGGCUAUUAGGGAUCAAGGAACACAUUCUAUGCUGCAAGCUGACCUUUUUGAGCAUCUGUGGCAACUUCAUGUGGCUAGAACCAAUAUGUAGAUGUUGGUUGGCAGGUAUGAAGACUACUUAAUUGGUAAUUUGAGUACUUUGCCAAUGUAGUAGUCUGAGUAAUGGUGCAUAGUUAUGGUGCAGUUGUAAUUGUACUUGCUAUUCAAUUGUCUUUCUACCAGCAACUAAAUUAAAAUGUGUAGUUGUUCCUUAACAAACUUCAUUAGUAAUUGUACCUAUAAUAAGUAUCUAUGUAUUAAAUUUUCAUCAGUUUCCCAUCUAACACUUCUUUUGUCUCCCCUAUAUAUCUUAUUAUCUUAAUUGUUUUCUGUGCAUAUAUACUUUCUCUUCUUCUUAUUGGUGCAUAGUUAUGGAUUCUUAAUAUUUUAGUUUUUCUACACAAAACUCAGAGCAUGAAUUUGUUGACGAAUCCUCUCAAAUAGCUUACAAAAGGCUUGCAAGAGGUCCAAGCUUUAACACAGACGAGGAUCGAUUCCUUGUCAGUGCUUGGUUGAACACUGGUUUGGAUCCUAUUCAAGGUAACGAGCAGAAACUUCAAACUUAUUAGGGAAUGAUACACGAUUACUAUCAUGAGUACAAAACUUUUGAUAAUGAUCGUUCACAACUAAUGCUGAGCCAACGAUGGAGAAAAAUACAAAGGCUGGUGAAUAAGUAUUCAGGAUGUGUAGCUGCUAUAAAUAGAAGAAAUGAAAGCGGCAAGAAUGAACAAGACAAGUGAAACUAUUUUUGCAGCCAUUACUUAGUUUUCAGCUAUUCAAAGUUAUUACUGAUAUUACUCACAUUCUAUUAUAUUCAGAUUGCAGAUACAAAAAAAUUAUUUGAAGCAUAAGAAGAGUGUAAGUGGAACCUUGAUCAUGCUUAGAUUUUGCUGAGGCACCAACUAAAGUGGAUAUAACUAAAUCAAGAGCUGGACUGACAAAAACAGUAAGAUCUCAACAUCUUCAACUAUAGGCAGUGAUAUAGACAUUAAGGAAGAAAUUAACAUUUGCAAUCCAGUAGCUAGACCACCAAGUAAGAAAACUGAGAAAAGAAAGCUGAAAGAAACAAGUGAUCAGUUGGUUCUAAUUGAAAAACUGCAUCUAGAGAAAAAAAAAAAAAUAAAAUAAAAAGAUGAAAAGAAACUAGCUAUUAUGAACGAGAAAGUUGAAGUUGAUAAAAAGAAAUUGAGGGUUAGAAAACUAGAGGCUGAUAAUAGGAAGUUUGAAGCAGAUAUGAGAAUAAUGUCUAUGGAUACUUCUAAGAUGAACCAUGAGGAAAAGGCAUACUAUUCCAAACUACAAAUGAAGAUUUUACAGGGUGACAACUAGAAGUACGAAGACUAUCUUAUCUUUUGAUUGAUGUUUUUCCAUUUGGUGUUUCUUUGUUAGCCAAUGUAAUGUUUAGAGCACAAUGUGUUCCUUUUGGUUUCUUCAUUUUAUACUGACCUUGUUAUCUUUUAUUUAAGGAAUGUUGUUAUUUCUCACAGUUUGAUGUUUUGAAUGUUGUUGUGUCAUAUUGAACUGGUUUGAAUGUAUUUCUAUUGAAUUAAUGCAAUAUGUGAGUUGUGAGUUGUUGUGCAUAAUGCAUUAUGUACUUCAGCUUGCUGUGCAUAAUGCAAGUGGUACUUCUGUUGGAUGUACUUCUAUUGAAUGUAUGUUAUAUGUGAGUUGUGAGUUGUUGUGCAUUAAUGCAAUUUGUGUUUGGACUAGUGUGAUGAGUAGUACUACAACUGUAUUCUUUUACAACUGCAUCAAAGUUCAGAUAUUAGCUCCACUUGAUGUUCAUGCUUGAUCUUACCAUUUUUUUGAACUUUUGCAGUAGCACUACUCUUCAGUAUUCAGUAGCAAGCAUCCUCAAAUUCUCAUCGCUACUCUUCAUUAUUGAUUUUGAUAAAUGUUAAAUUAAAUUCAAGUCUGACAUCUUCAUUAGAGAUGAGAUUAGCCAAGAUAUGUAAAAUUUAAAUUUUGACAUGUGACAUGUCAAAAUUUAAAUUUGACAAUAACUUUUGACAACAUGGUUGGAGUUGCUCUUAGUGACCAAGGAAAGCAGCCAAAACGUAUCAGAUUCAACAUAUGAGUCAUUAUGACAUUUGUCAAAUAGAGAGACAAGUUUUGGUGAGAAUUUGACAAGUGGAAGAAGCGUGUUUGUGGAAGCCUUUGUUUUUGACACUUGUCACCUUUUGAUUGGUCCUCUCUCCUUAUAAAUUGGAGUUCAGCCUUUACUAUCUGACUUUCUCUCUCUACUCUCUCACAUCAAUUUUCUCUCUCUAGAUUUGCGACUAAACUUCGGUGGAUCAUAACUUUUGAUUUGUAUCUCUGAUUCUGAAUCCGCAAAGUGCUACGGGUUCGGAUCGAUGCCCUCUUUCUAUCCUUGAGGUUUGAGUUAGAUCCAACUGUGAUUCUUAGAUGGCUUGUUUCAGGAGGCUCGGUUUACGAUCGAUAUUUGUUGUGGGGUUUCGAUGCUAUCAAGGUGAGUGGAUUUGUAUAAUAUGUUUCAAAUAUUAUUAUUUGCUAUCAAAAUAGUCGAAAAACAUGAUUUGAUCUUUUUAUGAAAUAUCUUUCUAUUUCAAAGUGAAGCAUGUCUAUUUGCGAAAUAUGUGCAGUUUAUAUAUAAUUAUGUGUUAGAUCCAUAGUUUGACUAGUCAUGGAACAUGUGAAUUUCUUGAUUGGUUAUGCCGAAGUAAGAAUGUGACAUACGGUGGUAUAGGACUUGAAGGUCAUUAGGUUCCCGUGGGGAUCACUAAAUUGAAGGAUAUUCAAUAAGGGAUUGUGCGAUGUGAUGAAUUGCGUGACUUGAUGUGUAUAUAUACGAUAUACGUAUUUUAUAGCGUGUGUAAAAUGACAUGGCUUUAUAGGUAUAUUACAUUGGUCUACUCACUGAGCGCGUGGUUUUGCUCACCCACCCAUCUCAAAUAUUUUUUGCAGAGGAGUAUUUAGGGUUUGACCGAGCCGGGAAAGGGUUGGACGAGCCUAGAAGAUAGUAUUUUUGUUUACGUUCCGCUUUGUAACACUCACACCUCGGAAUUGGCGUCCGAUGCUUAAAACCCAUCGAUGCUAGGAACAGGGAGUGACAGGAAACCUCUAUCAACAACUAUGGCAACAACAAUUCGAUGACUUGAGCUCAAACUAAUCUUAAUGAAAGAGUUACUAAUUAAGGUGCAAUAUGAAAACCUUUAUUUCACUUAAUAUUAGAAUGCAUAUUCGUGCUCUUUUGUUAAAUUUAAUUAUGAUGGCCCAGUUUUAAGAGAUCAUCUGCCUCUGACAUUAUCAUUAAAGAUGCCAAUGGAAGACCAGUUUCAACGAUCGCUAAUCUUAUUGGAAUAUCCUCAGUUCCACUUGCUGAAUUUGUGGCAUUGUGAGGUACUUUACUCAAAGCUAAGGAGCAGAUUUUUACUAAGUUUGACGUAGAGUUAGCCUCCAAAUUUGUGAUUGAUGCAGUUAAUGUCUGAGUUGAUCCAUCCUGGAACUAGUACAAGUCAUCAGAAAGUUGGCUACCAGUUUUGAUUAUAGGAUUUUUUACACCAACAGUGUCUGAAUUCUUGCGUGACUGACAAUAUGGUACCUGAACUUGCAAAGUUAUCAAAGAAGUACCCAGACUCAAUUUUUAAUAUCUAUGUCGUACCUGCGGUUUAUUUCCGUCAAGUCUCCGUUAAUUUGACCAUGUGCGUCCCACGUGACGACUUAAAUGAGGCGCAAAAGACUGAUGCACCCUCUAUUCUUUCAGAUCUCUUGUUUUUUUUUUGAUACGUUCUUUCAGAUCUCUCUAUCCUCUCUUUCUCACCCUCUUCAUCUCCUAUUCUCUCUCUCUCUCUNNNNNNNNNNNNNNNNNNNNUUUUUUUUUUUUUUUUUUUGGUUUUGUUCUGGGAAUGUAUUGGACCAGGAUCUUUGGUCAACAUAACAAAGUAAAGAAAAAGUUUUCAUCAAGUUUUUAUUAUCAAAUUUAUUCAUUUUAGGGGUUGAUGGAGUGAAAAAGUCAUUUUUACCCUCAUUUUUCAGACUCAUGUGCAUCACACAUGGUUACUGUUAACUGUGACGUGACAUAAGUAAACCGCAGGUACGACAUAGAUACUAAAAAUUGAGUCCGGGUACUUCUUUGAUAACUUUGUAAGUUCGGAUAUUAUAUUGUCAGUUACACAAGAGUUCAGACACUGUUGGUGCAAAAAAUCCUUGAUUAUAUUACUUUUAAAGUUUUAAACAUGUCUUUCUUGAGACAAACUUAGUAGCCGAUGCCAUUGGCUAGCGACACACUUUGGUAUUGGUAUGAUAAGGGGUUAAAAGUCUUAUUGUUUGACAUUGUAAAUGUUUAUUGUGUAAGAAGCAUUUAUAACUUUUUAUUUCGUUGAUAAAAAAAUAAUAAUAAUAAAAUUGGGCUUUGGGCUUAUACAGUGCAUAGUUCAUGAAUUGAGUGCCGCCGGACAGUCUCCUACAACGUAGCUCGGGUCACUGUUCGGGUGGGUUGGUGUCUUCUUCAACUUCCCCCAGAAACACCCAUCUGCCAUACGAUUCGUUUAUUCCUUUUUGGCUAUCACCAGUGAAGAAGAAGCAGCCAAAAAGGGACCCUUUUCAGUUUAUUCAAUUCUGAUUUGUAAAGCUUAAACCUUUUCAACAUUAAUUUACAAUAUAGCUUUUCUUCAAAUGGUUCAAUUUCUGGGCACCCUUCGCCCUUCUCCUUCUCUAAGCUCUUUCGUUACUUACAAGCGCCAAGUAUACUCGCCAAUCACAGCUCCCAACAAUGGGUUCUUGUCCUUCAGACGAAUGUUCAAGGCUUACCUUCAAUCUAGUAAGCUCGGCUUGCUUUGUUUCUUUCUUAAUGUUCGGCUCAAAUAUGGAAUACUUUUGUGUUUUUGUUUUCUGGAUUAUUGUUUAUGAUCAAAUGAAUAGUUCUUUUUUAUGCUUCCCAGUUUGUUGGGUAUGCAGAUGGAUUUUGUAUAGUAGAUAGGAGUGUUCUUGUUUAGUAGUACUGAUUUUGGCUCCAAAGUUCUGUUGUUUUGCUUUGGUUUGUGCUUGUGCUGGAUAUUGAAGUUCUUUAUUCAAUGCUAUUUACAUGCAUUGAUGAAUGAAGGAAACAAAUUUGAACAAUAGGGGUUUAUAUCUUUUGGUUUUCAUGUGCAAGAUUGUUCAUUAGAAAGUAGCUUAGGCGUAAGGUUGAUGAGCAAACAAUCAGGAAAUGUUGUUACUUUAGAGACACUUGUUUGUCUCCAUUUGUAGAGUAUAUAAGCUAUAAGCAAAUGUUUUCUGCUUUAGAUGAGUUGGGUAGUGAUUUUUCAAAGAAUGACAGGUUCAGUAGCCACAGAUGCUGGUUCAGGGUUACCAUUGGAGCAAUCAGACGUCAUAUUUAUAGGUACAGGAACAAGCGAAGGAAUUCCACGUGUGAGCUGCCUGACAAAUCCUUUGAAGAAGUGCGAGGUAUAGUUAUAGUACCUAUGUGCUUGAGAAUGUUUGCAUGACAUAUGCUGUGUUUUUCUUGAUUACUACAUUUCUGACCAUAACAGAUCAAAAUUAUUAGAUAAAUGAAUACUUUUUGGUUUUUGCAGGUGUGUUUAAAAGCUGUGGAACCGGGUAACAGAAAUAGGAGACUCAACACAAGCAUUGUUGUACGUCAUCCUACAUCCUCUGGAAGUUCUAACAUUCUUAUUGAUGCUGGAAAGUAAGUAGAAAUGUGUUUUCAAUGUGUACUGUGUCAAUGUUACUUAAAAAUGUAUUUGUUCUUCAUGCCUUGCAAAAAACAAGUAUUUAUUUAGCUAAGCUGAAAAAUAUGAUAUUUGCAGUCCUGUAGCAAAUGUCUUAGUUAAGAUCCGUGUGUGAUACAUUGGUAGUUUAAAUUGAUGAAUUGCAAAAACUAAGACAUGGGUCAACCAAAUGAAUUUGCUGAGUUCCGUUGCUUUUCUGGUAGAUAAUGCACGAUUUUUUUUUUUUCUCAUAUGGGGUAAUUGGGUACCAGAAUAAAUAUUGAUUAGAGUUCGGGAUAAGAUGAUGCAGCGGAGGGUUAUCCAGGAAUUCAUGUUAUCAGAAUAUGUUCAGCACUACAGGCCUUGCUAAGAAGUAGUAGCUGCCUCUCCAUGAGGCACAGAUACUAAUAUGAAUUGGAUUGAUGGGAGUUUUCCAUCUGGUCUCCCUAGGGUUAAUGCAUGAUUAACAAUUCUGUAAAUGAUAGUUAUAGUUGUAGUAAUGGUAAUCAUUUUAGUAGAAUCAUAAUAUGAAGAAGUAGUAGAAAUAAUUCCAUGAUUUUCAUUGGUGUUGCUGCCUGUUUUACUACCUAUAAAGAUACAAACUAGAUUAUUCUUGUGUAUUGCUGGAACUUUCCAGAUCAUGAAAGAAAGGUUGCAUAAAACUUGAUCUCUUGCAGUUCUAUUUCUGUUUUGUAGAUUUUUCUAUCACAGUGCUCUCAGAUGGUUUCCUUCUUAUGGGUUAGUUACUGUUUCAUUUUCUCAUGUUUUGCUGUGCUAUAAACCUCAAAGAUAUCAAGUAGUCUCUCAUGUUUAUUAACGAGGUAUAUGGGUUGCUACAAAAACAUAGACUUUUAUUGGUGGUUGAUUUUGAUGACAUAUUGGCUUCGAACAUAUCAUUUCUAAUGGUAUUUGAAACAUGUUUUCUGGUACUUUCAAAUCACUCUCACAGUCUCACAUGUCCUAGAUAUUACACAAUUCGUUAUAUAGGUCCACCCCUUAUUGUGCAGUUUAGGGUUUUCGGUAUGCCACCAGAGUUAGAUAUCAAAUGUUGGCAUAAGUUGAGGUGUUCUUUUUGGACUAUUGUGGCAAAACUAUAUUUUGCCUUAGUUGUUCUUUUAGAAGGGUUCAAUCUUUUUCAAAGACUUGACUCUAACUUGGUGAUGCUCCUGUAGCUUCCAAUGUGAUAUGUGCCUGUCGUCUGGUAUUUUACUUUUCGUAACUAGUUCUGUUUCUGUCAGGAUAAGAACACUUGAUGCGGUUAUUAUUACUCAUUCUCAUGCUGAUGCAAUUGGAGGUCUCUGUCAUGAACACUUUCUAAUGCUAUUUUCUAAAUGAUUAAUAAGAAUACGGUUCCUGUUUCUUUUUUUCAUUAUUCACAUUAAAAAUGAUUAUUUAUUUGUCUCCAGGUCUGGAUGAUCUUCGUGAUUGGACAAACAAUGUUCAACCCAGCAUUCCAAUAUAUGUGCCUGAGCGUGAUUUUGAGGUCCAAACAUCUCCUUCUUGCAUUGUGCUGAGUAUUGUAUUGUAUGAUGACAUUUUGUUUUAAAAAUUGAUGUAAUCAUGUUAGCUUUACCUGUUCUUCCAACAUUUGCAUGAUAGUAAGAGAAUUUACACAGGUGAUGAAGAAGACUCAUUAUUAUUUGGUAGACACAAGUGUGGUCCAACCUGGUGCUGCUGUCUCAGAGUUGCAAUUUAAUAUUAUACAUGAGGAUCCAUUUUCUGUGAACGAUUUGAAGGUAGGAUAAGUAUCAGUUUGUUUUGUACUAAAUCAGAGUUUAUAUCAAGCAUUCUUUGGGUGCCGUUACAUAUAUGAAAUGGGAUAUGUGAUCCAUACUUAAAAUUAAAUUUGGAAGGACAUGUAAGAUAAAUGAAACUAGGUUGGUCUUGAUCUAUGUAGUAAGCAGUACAGUUAUAACAAGAAAAUAUAUGUGAUAGCACUGGGCCAUUGAUACUUGAAAGAAUUAAUCUUUGACACAGCCUUGAACUCAUACCAGUGUAUUGUGUUAACUUUUUGUAUUUCAGUUUACCCCUUUACCUGUAUGGCAUGGUCGUGGUUAUCGCUCCUUUGGAUAUCGUUUUGGUAAUGUUUGUUACAUCAGGUAAUGCUUCUAUUCUUUAACAGCCAGGUCUCUGAUAAUUUUUAUGCCCUGUACAUUGACCUCUUUUAUCUUGUGUUUCAUCAUAAAGCUAGCUGCUAAUAACGAAUUCUUUUCAUUCACAGUGACGUUAGUGAAAUACCUGAAGAAACCUACCCACUUCUGAGAGACUGUGAACUCCUGAUUAUGGUGCCUCCCCCUCAUUUUUCAGACAUGAACCACACAUUCCCUCUAUAUUCUCAUUCUUAAGAAACACAUUCUUCUCUUCUAACCGGGCUGAUUUUCAGGAUGCUCUACGGCCAGAUCGGAAUUCUGCAACACAUUUUGCACUUCCAAGGGUAAAAUAUUUCAGGCCUUCCUGUAAUACUUCAUCUUUUAUAGAAUUUGAAUUUCAUUUACUAUAUUUUCAGGCUUUGGAGGAAGUGCGGAAAAUACGACCUAAGAGAACAUUGUUUACUGGUAUUCUCAGCCUCCUCUAUGUAGCUUAGUGAUUCUCUAUAAUUUAAGUCUGCAAAGACCAUUGUUCACUGGUUUUAUAAUACCAAAUAAUUUACAGCUUCAUUUCCUGGUUUUGCUUUGAUGAAGGUAUGAUGCAUUUGAUGGAUCAUGAGAAGGUAAAUGACUAUCUUUCGAAAUUGAAGGAGACAGAGGGUCUUGAUGCACAAUUGAGCUAUGAUGGGCUUCGGGUACCUAUAGCACUCUAACCUUUAAAUCACUUUACAUAUGAUGGCCUAUUUACUAUUUCUUAUUAAAUACAUAAUUACCAUUUAUUUUGGGCCAGUUGAUCUUUCACAAGCUUUGCAAUAUCAAAGCUAGAUUAAUAUUUUGCUUCUCAGACUUCAUUGUUAACACCCCCAUUGGUCCUCCUAGUUUAUCACAUGAAUAUGUGGCCUGUGGAGACUAUUGUCCAAAUCUUAGUGUAGCAGGUUCAAGGUAAAUGACAAGUAAUGUCACUGUUGCAAAGGUUUUCAGCAUAGGUCUGGUUCUUUCAUAUUCUAUGUAGUUGAGUGAGUUCAUAAGAUAUGUGACUCAGAUUGGAAUCUGAAAGAAAUUAGGUUGGAUUAGAAAGAAGAACGUAAGAGCAACCUACUAGAUGAAGUAAUAAUACUCGGAGGUUGAUGGGAUGGGGUUCGAUGCAAGCCCUUACUCAUCAAACCUGUGGAACUUCAUCAUGUUCUUUCACUGAUUGAAGUAUGUGUCGCUCAUGAAAAUUAGAAGGUGCUCAUUAGCUUCAUCAACACUAUCUUCUCUGACCGAUUUCGAAUCAAAAUGAAUUAUAGAGGAUCUAAUGAUUAGAAACCACGCACGGUUCAUUCCUUGUGUGAUUCAUAUGUUUCUGAUCUCCACAAAUUCUCUUCCCAUAAUUCGCAAUGGUGGUUUAGGCUACUCUGUGGCCACAUCAACACAUUGUUCCGGACCCGUAGUAGUUCGCUGUGGUCGAAAAUGGGUUUAGGCUAGUUUUUUACUCUAAAUGCAGUUAUUGGGUAUCCGUCUUACUACACAUGACCGUUAGAGAGUUUGCGCCCUUCAUGUGCAAAAACAUCUGCCAUAAAGUUUUCCUCUCUCUAAUAGUUUUUUUUUUCCUUCGAUGAGAGGAUCACAUAAUAUUCGAUGAGAGGAUCACAUAAUAGUUACCAUCGAUGUCUUAUGAUCGAUUAAUCCUAGUCAUUAACGCUGACCCUUGUAUAAGCGGGCAUCCAUGUCCCGACACUUGUGAUAUGAAAAGAGAGGAGAGGAGGGCAUGACAGGUAUCAAAGAGCAUUUUGCCGCCUCUUCUGACAACAGUCACCGACUAAAGUUACCCACAUUUGCACGCUCUCCUCACUAAGCUCCAACCACAGUGCUGCACGUGUACCUGUCAGGUCCAUUAGGGGUCCUCCUACUGGUCCUUUUCACGGGUGAUUGAAGUACACGGUGAAAGACGAGUACCGUUGAAAUUAGAAACCCCCGGCGGCCGCCAUGUCCAUAUGAGCUUAUGAGCAUCGUAGCUCAUGAAACCUUAACAAUAAACAAGGGAAAUUGAAGCAUGCAUGUCACCUAGAAUUCUAGUUUUAGGUUAAACUAGUAUUGGCAAUUCUUUUGGUACUGAUCUUGAACCUUUUUAACCAACAACCGAUCAUCAACUCAUAGUGUGUUAUUUUACGGUUUUUACCCUUAUUACUUGCCCUAUAUGGGUGUGGAGUUACCGUCGGGUCAGCUUGCAGCAAUCCACUUGGUUUUUGUUAAAAAAAAAAAAAAAAAAAACUUCCUGAUUAUUAUCUUCAAAAACUUCUACUGAAUGCAAUUUUCUGCAGACAGUAGGGAAAUGAAAACAUGCAAAAUAGAAGGCUCUGUAUGAUAUUGAUAACGUUGGCAUCUUUAAUUGCCAGCAGUUCAUUUGCUAAGUAUUACGAGAUUAUUUUGAUCUCUUUUGGGUUACAUAUAGGUUUGGAUCGGAGGCAGGCUAUGCUAAAUAUAUAUAACGCGCGCCGUUAUCUUUUGCGGAGGGUGUUACGUACUAAACCAGACCUUCUUGGUUCACAAUAUAACGUAGGACCAAUUAAAAAUCACUGGGAUUCAACAGCUGGAUCCUCCUGAACUUUAAGAAAGCUAGCUAUGGCUAUCUAGCUAGCUUAUAUUUACUUGACAAAUAGUUAGUGUUGAAGAUUGGAGUGGGACUUGCGAAUUCUAAAUCAUUCUGUGUGGAGUCCCAUGCAAGUGUGUACCGAUCGAACACAAUCCCGUGAACUCGCAGCCAGUCCAUGCAUAAGUGCACCUUUUGAUAAUUCUCUCCAGCUGAUCCUAUACAAAUACCUUUUAUCUGUAAGGUAGGUUGCCUCCCAUUUGGGGCAGACGGGUAGUAUUAUUCACAGUCCAAUCAGUGUUCCUCUACUUGGAGAUCGAGAGGGAAAUUCGAAGCUAGGUUUAGGUACGGUUGUUGCUGAAUCAAAUCAAGCCAAGAGUUACGAAUGGCCGGUAGAGGAUUACUUGGAGUUAUUUAUAUAAUUUGAAAAUAUCUGUUAAAGGCCGAUCGAGAGCUCCAACCACAGAUCAACGAGGAAGGGAGGAGAGAGGUGGCGCCAGCCGACACUGACAACGGCGACAAGGCAAUCACGGGUCGCCGUUGGAUGACAAUGGCUAUGGUAGAGAGCGAUCGAGUCACCGGUGCCCGGUGGUGAUGGCUUUUUUUUUCUUGAAAGAAAAAGAAUAUAUAAAAGAAGAAAGAUUGAACCUCUAUACAAGAUCGACUAGACAGUAGACACAGAGAGCCAACACACAUACUGAUAUGCGUUUGUCUUCAAGCAUUUCAUGCAUGGCAAUAAGUUAAUGUAGUGGUUAAUUUUAGCCAAGGUUGAGAACGUACAAUAACGUAUGUGUGUACAACUAGAUCCUCUCUUAAAGAUUUAACAAGCAUUAUGUCAACUUCCAACCGGGGUAAUUAAUCAUUUCAAAUACAAAAUAGCUUUGAAAUUAAUAUUCCUUAAUCAUUUGAAAUAAUCAAUACGUACAAAAUCACAUCAUAAUACGUAAGAUAAAUGUGGUAAAAAUUACAAAACGGUCCCUAAAUUAAAAUGAACUUCACGGUUCUUCUUGUUAAUAUCAGAGGGUAGCUAAAAGCUUGAGAACCAAGCAUAUUGGUAAAAACCUAGCAUUGACUGAUAAUUAACCUGUUAUAUAUAAUUUAAGUAUAUGCAUUUUCUUCGACGAAAAAAUCCCCUGAUUUAAUGGGUGGCAGUCGGGGCCGGCCAGAAGUUGCUUAGAUGGAAGAUCAUUUGACCCUAAAACCAAAUCAAAGAACCCGAAAUGAAAGUGAAAUUAAGAAUGAGAAGAAAACAAAACAAAGGCAUAGGAAGUUUACUAUAGCAAUUUUGGAAACAACACAAAACACGAACAGGUCCUUUCAACCCCAUCAUUUCAGUAGGUCAUAUCUAGCUCAAGGUAACAAACUAGUACCAGACUACCAGAUGGCCGGUAAUCGUACAAGAGUACUCUAGCAGGGUUUUGUAAGAAAACAAUUUCGACCCCUUCCUAGUUCCUACGUACCGAUCGACCAUUCCACUAAUCAAACUAUGACCUAUAUGCCAUCAGUUAGCCGAGCCGACCAUAAUUAUAAUUACUCUGAUAUAUAGUUUAGGUGAUAAAGAACUAUAUAUAUAUAUAUAUACACACACACACAUAUUAUUGAUCCGUAUACCUCAUACUGAAUGUGAAUUAAUCUUGUAUGUUGAUGGACCAUUGGACCUUAUUGAUGUGCUCGAUCUCCCUCUUUUCCCCCUUCAAAAACUAGGGUUUUGAGCGUCAGUGCACGUCCCCUCAUCUCCCGAUCGAGCUUAUGGAGCAGUACGUGGCUCUCUGAAAAUGCCGUUUAUCUGUUGCGCCGCAGCUUUCGGUUGCGAUUAGCCAUGACUUCAAUCAGGGCGAAGUCCAGCAAUGUUGAUCGUGAACCUUCUUCUUUGUUCAAGGUUGUAGCAGGGUCUUUUCUUGUGUUGCGGUCUUCCAUCGGUAUAUCCAAUGAUAUUAUGCAUGUGAUAUAGCUAAAAGGGCGAAUAAUAUGAAGAAUCGACAUAAUACUGAAAUUUACAAGAGAGUUUCGGAAAUUACAAUCCAUAUUUUUUGCACAGGAUAUCGUGACCCUAGCUAAGAGAUAGAACCAUUUUUCUUUGGUUCAGGAUAUAGCACCCUUCUUAUCAGUACUUAGUUCUGGUUGUUGUAAGUACAAUAAACUGACCUUCAUAAAAUUCAUGUCAUUGCUUCAUUAACUAUCAUACCUUCAUAUAGGUAGAUGAUGCCAAAUAGCAUUACAAACUAAUGGAAACUUUACUCGUUUACUUUUUUUUUUUCCUUUUUCUUCAUUUUAAAAGUUGCAUUCAUUUAUAUAUUGGAAGCAUGCCUUGUACGCAUUAUUCUAAUCACAGGGAUGAGCUGGGAGAGCAUAUUGAGACUUUGGUCGAGCAAGAUCCCAUUUCGAAAAACUAUAUCAUAGAGGAAUAAAACAAGAAAAUGACAAAGAUGAUAAUGGUUUUUUUAUGUCCAUUCCAUUUCUAAGUUCAGACUGCGCGCUAUUAUAUUUUGAGAGGGAACACACAAGCUUGUCGAAAAGAUGGACAAACAGAGAGACUACUAUAAUGUAGCUCCAGAUGUUCCCGUAUUAUUUAAGUUCUGCAUAUGCAUGCAUAUACUAUAUAGAAUAUGCAUUUGUCUAUUCAUCCAGAGAUACUUAAUCCCUUAUGAUUGAAGUUAUAUUUUCGUAGUAGCUAGUCAUCUUGAUUUUACUACUGGUGAUCCACUGAUGCAGUCCAGCGUCAUAACACAGUGCCUGCAAAUAUAUAUAAUGGCAUCAGUGUCUAUCUCCAUAUUGACAGAAAUAGUCCUCCUUCCGAUAAGAAUAUAUAUUGGUUCUACUGAGAAAAUAUUAUCCUCCGAUCACGAGGUAGGGUUCCUUCAAAGUGUUUAUUAAACUUGAAUCGGUUUGAGGUGGAACGAUGCUAGCGACAUGCUUCAGGCUAAUAGUUAAACUCGCACCAUUUCAGGUGCAACGACCUGUUGUUUUAGCUAGCUAGAUAUAUAACAAAAAUAACUUGGGUGAUAAACACUAAUGAAAGAUAGACAAGUGCCAAUAAUAAUUAUAAAUAAACAUGCUAAAUACCCAAAACCUUCAUGUUAUGUCCUUAAAUUACAGCCAAAUCUUUUAAAAUGGACAUGUGUCUCAUGUUUAUUGGUUAUGAUCAUUUUAAAGUGCCAAGUCUUUGUCACCUAAGUCGGGUUCAUAUAUAACAGCAUAACCUCUUGUACUGCUUCAUUAAUUGCUUUUGGACACGUGUCCCAUUUUUGCAUUAUUUUUCUCUGGCUACUACAAUGUUUCAUUAAUUGCUUGUCACCAAUGGGUUAAGCAAUAACCUGAAAUAUUGUAAUCGUACCUGUUCAGAAUUCUCCAUAUCGAUCUAUAUUUAAUGUACACCUUCCUAUAUAUAAUGCAUGUACCACUGUUUUUGAAAUAUCAAUACAUCACUAUGACAUAUAUUAGAUACAUUUACAAACGGAAAGUUUUAACUAGAUAAUUAGCUUUCUUUCCCUUUUUGCUAAAAAUCAAAGAAAGGGAAACAUUUGUGCUACAAUUAUUUUCUUCCCUAAAAGUAAUAUCGUGUUAUUUUGUCUACGUAACUGUAUCUCUAAUUCCAUGAACAGAUAGAAGUCAAGCUUAUCAUCAACAUGUAUAAGAGUAAGGUCAUGCUUGUUGACCUUUCAGUCAACAAGGAAGCUGGUUAGCUAUGAACCUUUCUCAAGUCCCUCCAAAUCCAGCUAUAUAUAUUGAUCGAUUAGAUUAAUUGGUCUUGAUUUUCCUCUAAAUUUGAAGGAUUAGAAUUGGUCUAUAAGUACGUACCGUCCACAAUUCUAGAAAUUAAUCAUGGAUCUUAGUCAUCUUAUUACGAUAAAACAAAAGAGGCGGCCGAUCGAGGCCAAUAGCAACUGAGGUUAAAUAUGUUAGGCAGGCGAUCGAGCUAUCUUAGGCUCUUAGCUAGUAUUGUAGAUCCAUAUAAUGUGAUCGAUCUAAUUCUAUCUCUCUAAAUAUAUUUUAUCGUUUAAACCAUCCAACUCUAUCUGUCAGAAAUUUCAAGCACCUAGCUAGGUUGAAAAUGAAAGAAUAGUUUAAGUCAUGAUCGAUAAUAGCGUAGAUGCAAAACCUGCAAUAGAAAACAGGGAAAGAGACUAAAGAAAAGAGGAAUGAUCAUGAACUGAUGGCUACUGAUGAGAGCUUUUAGUUUUAGCCAAUGCCUCUUAAUCAAUGGAUCAAUCAUGCCACUGUAAUUGUAGAAAGUUGGGGAAAAAAGGGUUACUGCUGCAUGCCCAUGAUGUAAAAGUAAAACAUGGAUUUCAAAAUCAAUAUCUCUCUCUCUCUCUCUCUCUCUCUCUCUCUCUCAUACUUGUCUAUGCAUAAGUGGAAAUGAUACUCUCUUUUUACAUGGUUGCUUGUAGUAGUAGCUAGUAGUUAGUGAUGAGAUUAUAAAAGUUUUUAGCUUAGGAGUAAAAAGAAAAAGAGAAUGAAAACUUUUGUUUAGAAUGAAAGAUAGCUUGUCAUGUUUAUAGAAGUGAUCCAGAUUAUUUUUCUGGGGUUGUGAAAGGGAAGAAAGGAAAAGACAGAAAGUGCCAACGUCAGAGUUUAGCCGUAGGGUUCCCUUCUGUUUUGUGACUUGUAUUGUUUUUUGUUUUGGUCUGCAGCCAGCUUCAAACAUAACAGAGCUCUCUCUCUCUCUCUCNNNNNNNNNNNNNNNNNNNNUACUCUCUCUCUCUCUCUCUCUCUCUCUCUCUCUCUCUCUCUCUCUCUCUCAGUUUUGAACAGCCAAAGUCUUUAUCUUUUGUUCAUGAUUGUGUGGCCAUAGUUUGGAUCUUCUUGGUAAUAUUAUCAAACACAUGGCUCUCAAGCCAUGAGGAGAAGAGAAGAAAAGUAAAGUAGCUAUAGCUUAGUUUAGUUAGAGGGAUCUGCUUCACUUCUCAGCUUCACUUCUCUCUCUGUUGUUUCUUUUGAGAGCAAAACUCUCAAAAUACCAAAAUUGUCUCUUGGGUUGGAGCCAAACAAAUCAGAGAAGAAACAAUCAAGAUGUGUUUAUAGUGGGUGAGUACAUAUACAUAUAAGCUUGACAGACAUCAAUUGCUGCCCUCAGUUUUAGAUUUUGUUUUGGUUUGGCUUUGUCUUCUUACUAGCUCAGAUCCUAAAGCACUCUUCUUUUUCUCACUCAGACAACUCUGUCAAGAUCCAUAUGAGCCAUGGCGGUUGAAGCUUAGCAAUUCAACAAGAAAAAGAUGAAAGCUUUGCAAUUUCAACAGCAACAACAAGUGGACGAGAACAUGUCUAAUUUAACUUCAGCUUCUGGUGACCAAGCUAGUGUCUCUUCUGGAAACAGAUCAACUGAAAUCGGCACCAGUAAUUUUUCUCAGCAGUAUUUUCCUCCUCCGCCGCCUCAAGCUAAUAGUCAAGGUGUGAAAAGGAAGAGAAACCAGCCAGGAAACCCAGGUUGGUAAUUAAAUUGUUACAGUUCAGAGUUACCAAAAGGUGUAAACUUUUUGCAUAAUUAUGUGUUUACUCAUCUGGGCUCUACUCUUUUUGGGUUUUGAAUCAGACCCAGAUGCAGAAGUGAUAGCUCUGUCUCCCAAGACCCUCAUGGCAACAAACAGAUUCAUAUGUGAGAUCUGCAACAAAGGGUUUCAAAGGGAUCAAAAUCUCCAGCUCCACAGAAGAGGGCACAAUUUGCCGUGGAAGCUAAAGCAGAGAACAAGCAAAGAGGUGAAGAAGAAAGUAUAUGUGUGCCCUGAAGCCAGCUGUGUGCACCAUGACCCUUCAAGAGCUCUGGGGGACUUGACUGGGAUCAAGAAGCACUUUUUCAGAAAGCACGGUGAGAAGAAGUGGAAAUGUGAUAAGUGCUCAAAGAAGUAUGCGGUUCAAUCAGAUUGGAAAGCUCAUUCAAAGACCUGUGGCACCAGAGAGUACAGAUGUGACUGUGGAACUCUCUUCUCGAGGUAACAAAAACUAAUUAAUCACCAAAAACCUUAAAUCAAUUAAUUAACUUUGAAAUCCCAGAUUGAUUAUUCUUGAUUUGGUACAUUGGAGUGAGAGAGAUUGAUGGGUUUGUGGUUACAGAAAGAGAUCAUGAACAAAAGAGAGGGUGUGAAAGUCAAUACUGCUUCUGCUAUCUGCUACUGUAAAAAGCAGUUUGUAGUUUUGUAUAUGGCAUAUUAAUGGCCUUGUUUGCUUGUGUUUUGUCCUCUUUAAUUUUUGGGGAUUUUCAUUUUUCUUAUACAGGAGGGACAGUUUCAUCACCCACAGAGCUUUCUGUGAUGCUUUAGCAGAAGAGAGUGCAAGAGCCACAAACCCAACACCACUUCAAACCCUCUCUUCUCCUCCACCUCCUUCUCAUCAGUCUCAGAUAAACCUCAUGGGGGGAGGCGGUGGACCCCAUCUCAAUUUCAACCCCCAUGGCCAUGACCUCCAUGCAUACAGUGCAUUCAUGAAGAAGGAGCACAACAAUGAUCAUGAUCAGCAAAUUGGUAGCUUCAGUUCCACCUCCAGUCUCUUACCACCUUGGCUUGCUUCAGGCCCACCUCCCACUGCUCCCUCUAUCUUCUCUGGAAAUCAGGAUCAUCAUCAUGAUUUCCAGCAGAACCUGGAGUUGGGUCCAAACCCUAACCCUAGCUUGGGCCCCACUCUCCCUCAAUUCCAGGUGCCUGCUGCCGCUGCAGCGUUAUCAUCCCCACCUCACAUGUCAGCUACUGCAUUGCUGCAGAAGGCAGCUCAGAUGGGAGCGACCAUGAGCAGCAGCAGCAGCACCUCAGGCUCGCUCUCGGUGCCAGCAGGCAUCAUGACCCGGUCCCACCAAGGUGGUCACGUGUCUGACUUCGGAGGUCACGUGUCUUCUACCACCAACGGCGGAGCAGGAGGAGCAGGAGGAGGUAGUGUUCAUCAACAACAACAGCAGCAUCAGCAGCAAGCAGCUAGCUCUCUUUUGCAUGACAUGAUGAACUCUCUGUCUUCGGGUACUGGGUUUGAAGGGACCUCGUUUGAGGACGCUUUCGGUGGCAUGUUGGGUAUUUCGAAGAUCAAAGACGGGAGUAGGAGUGGCGGAGCUGAUGAAAACGGUGGUCAAGGUGGUGGUGAAGGCUUGACCAGAGAUUUCUUGGGGCUGAAAGCAAUGUCGCACAGUGACAUGAUGCUUAAUAUAGCUGGUCUGGGAAGCUGCGUAAGCAACAACAAUAGUAGCUCGACCCGUGACUCCUCGCAGAUUAAUCAAGUACCACAGAAACCUAAUUGGCAGGGUUAGCCUGGCCUGGCCUGGAUAUAGCUAGCUCCAUCCCCACAUAGAUGAGAAAGACAGAAGAAAGUUGAAUAUAUCCUUUUCUUGAUUUUGGAUUCUCAAACAAUAUGAUUUUGAGGAGAGUAGCUACAUAUAUUUUGAUCUUUUAUGUCAAUCUUCCCAAAGGGAACAUCAUCCAUGGAACUUAAAUGGAAUUAAACGACGACAUUUUGAGAACUUGAACGAUGUGCAUGCAUUGUUUACUAAUAGUUGUAGUUUCUCUUUAAGGCUUUAUUUUCAAUUUAUGAAGGUAUAUAUUAUUCCUCAUAUUACAUAUUCGCAUCUAUGGAUUCUAUGCAUCAAUGAAAAUCAUGGGAAGGUUAAGAUUCAUGGAAAUGCAAGUACGUGUUAAUUAAUAUGAACGAAAAGGUCAUACAAAGAAGAAAGGGUUUCAAGGGUUUCUUAAUAGUUAUUACAUACGUUGAUAUCCAUGUUUUGUUGGCUUUAGUUUAUAAGAAACUUUGUCACUGUCUUUUUGCUAUACACCAAUGCGUAAUUUGGUUGGUAAGAUUAACAUGCAAUAUGGUAUCUUAGUUAUAUAUGUGAUUAGUUACACUAAUUAAUUAGUUAGUGUUUCUCAAUCCUCCCACUAAUCUAGAAUUCCACUAACCCCAAAAUCCCGUUUCGUCCUAUGUGUAGGCCACUUAAAAAUUGCAAAGUAGGUUUAGUCUGUCUUAAUCCUUGGAUGUCAUACUAAUUAUCCCAGUUAAAUAAUUGCUGUGAAUAAACCCAGAGCAGUAUCAAUAAAAAAAAUAUAAAAAUAUAAAAACUCAGUAAUUUCUGAUUCUAAAGUAUGUAGGCAGGGAACUUUGAAUAUCCGAAAUAUGCGGAUUAUAUAUAUGGGAUAAUGGGAGAAUGGAAAAACUAAAGCAUUGGAUUCUCAAUGUAUGUGCAGGCUAGGCCAAGGUGGGUGUGUGGUGUGAGCAUAGUUAGCUGCUGCUGCUGCACAAGAGCACAUUGUGAAAACAAAAGAGAGAUGCUGUUUGAUACCUAAUCUGGGUGCAUUGCUAGUGGGAUUCAAUCCCGAGGAAGCUAGAUCAGCUUAUGUUCUUUUGUAUAAGUUAGUACCUAACAGUAGUGAAAGGUUUUAGCUUUAGUACCCUUUCCUUUUGCUCCCAUGAAUAAGUAACUUAUUAUGCAUUCUUGUGUUGUGUGUGUGGAAGACAAAGUUUGUCUGUGGGCACCGAUCAAUUCUUGUACUAUAUAUUCGGCUCAAAAGAAGUUUGGUUGAAAUGUAUAGAUCAUUUGAUUGGUAGUGGUAUAAUUUUUUCGAGCAAAUAACGCGUCUUAUCUUCAAAUAUCUAUAUGUUUGUGAAUAAGUAUUUUAAUUACGUGUGGUAAUAAUGUUAAAUAUGAAAAUAAGAAAAACUAAUGGUCGUCAAUCGUGACAUGUUGGUUAUCUAAAUAACUAACACUGUAGAUGCACGCCGUCAAUGAGUAUAAAUCUCACUACACUAAAAUGGAGUGAGGUAUAUAUGAAAAUUACAUUGUCUUCUAAACAAAUGUAAAACACGAAAAAUAGGGAAGAGAUCAAUCAAACACCAGCACCAUAUUGGUUUCGAUGCUACAAUGAUCGAAAUGGUCGAGUUUGGUUUUCACAAAUGUGGUGUGGAAUAGAAAAUUAGGCAAGUUGAGGUAGAUUUGGGUUUUUAAUUUUCCACUUGAUGAAGAGAGAAUGCUACACAAGUUCAGCAGAGAGGGUCAAUUAAAUGGUUCUCAUAUAUAUAUAUAUAUAUAUAUAUAUAUUGUAUUGAGGAGAAUAUUUUCCCAUUGAAAAGUGGAAAAGAAAAUGAGAUUAUUUGAUGUGACCUGCCGACCUGGUAAGGAAUAAGUGUAACCUGAUGUUACUGUCAUUGGUUUUGCUAGCGUAUAUUCUACAUUACAUUGACAGCAACUGUUUGCUAGUAAAUAAUUUAACAAGAACUUAUUUAUCAGCGCUACUGUUAAGUUGUCAUGGAUAUUGCACUAAAGAAUAUAUGAUCAGUCGAGUUAUCUAAUGAAGCUAGUUAUGUGCCUGCAUCAGGUAACCUUCUGAAUUUUUGAAAAUAUUUGGACAAUAGCUUUUGUUUAUGUAAAUACAAUAAUCAAGACGGUUUAAUAAUUAUAAGCUUACAAAUUAAUAUUGGAAAAUUAGAAGUUUAACGUACUAUAUAUGAUCAUCAUCGUCAUUACAUGCAUGUUACCGUGAGAGGACUAUUUCGAUUUUGCCUUUGAUAUAUAGGAACUUCUUUAUUUUAAUCAAACCUGGCAAAUGUGAGGUAGAAGAGCGAUAUAUAGGAACUUGAGAAAUGAAUCAUUUCGAUCACUUAGAAUGUGCAUAUCAAAAUGUUUGAAGGUAUUUACAAUCGCUUAUGUUCAUUGGUCAUACAAUCUUUUCAACAAUUUGAUAGAUCGGCUUAGAAUUACAAGAAUAUGAUCACACUCUUGAUUUGAUAAUUAUACUUGCAAAAAUGAUCUUUAAAUGAAAGUCUAGAACUCUAGAUCGAGUAAUAGUUUAAGGAAGUUAAAUUUGAAUUCGAAUCCUCUCAUUCACUGUUAGAAAAGAAAAUUACAGUUGAAGCAACUACGCUUCGAUAAUUAGAAAUGAUCAAUCAUUGAAAUCAUAUGGCAUGGGGCUCCAUAUACGUUUGUUCCUUUAUAUUCAAUUGAUUAAGAUAUUUCGAAGAGCUCUUUUCACAUUUUAAUUUGUAUAUAUGUAUAAGAUUAUAAGGUGCAUGAUAGCUAGGUUAGUGCUUCUGCAACUUCAAGCCUCAAAUGUUGAAUUAGGUCAGUAAUGUAAAGUGAUAUACACUGGCAUAUAUGCAUCAAAAUGCUCUAUAUAUAUGCCUCUGUUUGUACACGUGCGUGGCCUCAAAGGUUUACAUUAUCACAAUAUGCAAAUUUUGAGUCAGAAAAAAAUAAACAUGAUUAGCCUAUGAUCAUCAGAUAAAGGGGCUUAUAUAUGAAAACCAGCUGAUCGAGGUUGAAGCUAAAAAGAGCUCGAGAUUCUCAUCUUUAUAAACUUGAUAAUAAUGUUAGGUCAAUAUGCAUAGAGAUAUGCAUGUCUGAGCUAGCUGGCUGGCUUUAUAUAUUACUUUGAGAGAGUUGAGAUUGGUCUUGGAGGGCCACUUUGGUUUUUUAUUUCUAACAAAAGAUUCCUCUCUGAAAUCCUCCAUGAUCUUUCGUGUGUUAUAUUGUUAUAGAAAGAACACAGAGACCUUUCUGAAUUGUCACCCAAGCCAGCAUUGCCAUUUUCUUGUUUGCCUGAGAAAAAGAGAGAAGUGUGUAGGAAGCGAGUAGCUUGAGAGCGUGUCUGUCAUUUCACAUUCAGGUACAGAUAUUUCAGAUUCACAUUCACAGGAUAGGUAAAAGCACUGAGAGAUAGAGAAGGCAUGCCCAGCUAUAGUACUCCAUGUCUCCAUGGAUGGCCAAAUUGAUGCUUUGGGUUUUCUGGGUGCUUACUUUUUUGUAUUGAGCGCUGUUCAAAAACACAAGAAUAAGAAAUGAUGGGGUCUGUGAAAAAGCUGCAGAGAAACCAAGGCAAAUGAGCAGAUGCCCCAGAAUAAAAGAAUGAAGGGCAAAUUUUCAUGGUGGGGAAUGGGGAUCAAUGGCAUUGGUAUGACUGAUCAAAAAACACAGUUGACUUGUCUUUGUCAAGAUGGUUUGCCUCCCUUUGUGUUAAUAAUGCAACCUUUUCUCUUUGACUUGCCAUCAUCAUCAUCAUCAUCUCUCUAGGUUAUCUUCUCCCUUCUGUAUAUGCAUGUUUGCUUUUCUUUUCUGUCUCUAAGCUCGCUUUCUCUCAUUUCACUCUCAUUGCAGGCAGACUGCACAUGGUGAUGGAGAUGUAGGAGAGAGCUAGCUUGAAUUGGCAUGGUGAUAUAUGUCUAGCUCUUCAUCUCUUUCUCAAAAUUAAAGAUAGCAAGAUAGCUACUUCUUCAUAAAGAAUCAUAAUUUGCUGGGUUCAUUAUGGCUGAAGUUGAUCGAUGUGAAUUACAGCAUACUUGAUAAUGACAAUAUAUUCCUCUUUGCCUUCUAAUUAACCAUUAAAGACAGCAGAAUUGAGAUUGAAAUAUAGGUAGCAGCCGGUAUCUAUAGGUCAGUUUUAAAUACAGUUCAAAUAUCACUAUCAAAAUGCUGAUAAAAGAAAAUUACAAACACUUUUACGAUAAAUAUUAGAUAGCUAAUGGAUUGCUUUUCCUCUUUGCAUUUUCUUAAUUAGACAAAUUUUCAAUUAGGUCAGUAGACAGUAGUCAUAUAUGCACUAUGCCAAAC
rnacentral:lncRNA from 1 species